UGGAUCAACCUAUUUGGGAUGUGUAAAGUUUAAUUUGAAUAAGUCAAGAGUUGGAAUGAUAAGUGAAGAUCAAUGUGAACUAACCAUAUCUUAGCUCUUGUUUUGAUUCAUCGUUAUGGAUAUUGUGUGGUUAUUAUCUCUAAUUUGUGGUGUGUGAUUAUGUAGGAAACUUUUUUAUUGAAUACAGUGAUAUAAUAAUGAUAUAAAGGUUAAAAAAUAUAUGGGAAAUACACCACAAUACAAAGGACAAAAGAUGGGACGAUAAACACUUAACCAAAAUCAUGGAAGCAACUUUCAGUGUGUGACCACGAUAUGGGUGUGUCGCCCCCUUUAUUUCAGUGCCUUCAUUCCUUAGAAAAUAUUUUGAAGAAAAAUUCCAGACGCUGCACAUGAUAAGCCCGCGAUGUGGGCUUCACUCUGGUGCAACAAUGCCCACAGUGUGCCCUAUACUUUGGUGGAAUGGUUCCCGUGUCGCCUGCUGUAUUCUAGGGCUGAAUUACAUGCUAAAUCCUUGUCCAACAUGGAUUUGGCUUACCCUUUUUCUAUAAAUACAUCUUUAAGGAUCCUUGGACGUAUUUUUGGAGAUGAAGGGGCUGCUACAACUUCAUCUUUUAGUUUUUUCUUAUUUUAAUUUAGUUCUUUCAUGUCCUUAGUAGUUAAUUACAAUUUUGUGAUUACGAUUAUGACUUUGUGUGUCUAAACACCCUUUUUCCGAGGUUAAAGCCAAGAACAUUAGUGCUAUUGUUUUGAAUUAAGUUUGCUGAUUUGCUUAUUAUUAUUGAUUGUGUGUUCAUCUUUGAUUUAACUAUUUGAUGGAUUGAUCACCUAAAACAUAUACCCAUUGUCUACGUUUUAAUCUCAGGAGAGGGAAUAGGGAGAUAGAAUAUGGUGAUAAACAAAGUAUGGUUUGUAUUCUUUUAUAAAAUAAGGAAUUCAAAUUAACAUCUAGGACAGGGUUUUACUUAGAUGCCUUACUUGAUUCACAUGCAGGAUGAUAGCUUAAAGAACUUAAUUGGAUUAUUACAUCCCCGCUCAACGAUGUAGUCUUAAUGUCCAAAUUAGGUAAUCGGUUAGUGGUCGGGAGACCAUGAUCAUACAAUUAACCCUAUGAGUCAACAACUAAGAUAAACAAGUUAACGAAUAAAGUUCAAUAACAUAGUAUAAUUGUUUGAAGUGAUUUAACCCUGGAUUUUACUCCAUUGAUUGUUUCAAGACUUAAAUUUAUGCACUGUUUACUUUAUUUAUAAUUUACAAUGUUCAAAACUUUAUUUUGGUUGCUCUUGCAUCAAUUGAAUCAAAAUUGUGAACUAGAAUCGAAUAGUUGUUAUAUCAAGUCCCUGUGGGAUCGAUACUCAGCUUUCUUGAAGGCCACUUUACUACUUGAUAGACCAUGUACACUUGCAUGUGCUCUUUAGCACUGUUACCUAUGAGUCAUACCCUAUCUCUCAUACUCAAAUAUUACGACAUAUGGGGUCCUAGUAGUAACCACAAUAGUGACUUGUGAACCUACACUAGUUUUAAUACGAAAAGCAUCAUACGACUCAUAAAGAGUUAUUACGACUCAUGACAUCCCAGUCCAGUCAAAACAGAAACAUGGGCAACCCUUAUUGCUCACCCUAUGACUCGGGCCCUGUAACCUAUAAGGAUACCUUAUGACUCAUUAGUGGGAGCAGCUUCUAGCCUUAGUGGAGUUUGCUUAUAAUAACAACUACUAUUCCAGGAUUGAUAUGGCUACUUUUGAGGCUUUGUAUGGUAGGCAUUGUCGCUCUAUAAUUGUUUGGUUUGAGGUUUUUGAGAAUAGACCUUGAGGUAUGAAUUUUCUUCGUGAGUCUUUGGAUAGGGUUCAAAUCAUUCAGGAUAGACUUUGAGUGGCUUUUAGUAGGCAGAAGUACUAUACAAAUUGUAGACUUCAUCCCUUGAGAUUUGGUGCUAGUAAUUACGUUUUCCUUUAUAUUUCACCCAUGAAUGCUGUGAUGAGGUUUGGAAGGAGGGGAAAACUUAGCCCCAUGUAUAUUGGCUUAUUUGAGAUUCUUUAAACUGUUGGUAAUAUGUCUUAUGAGUUGGAUUUGCCCCCAAAUUUAGCAGUCGUUCAUCCAAUUUUUCAUGUUUCCAUACUUUGUUGUUAUAUUUUGAAUGAGUCUCAUGUCAUUCAUUGGGAGUCAUUUCAAUUAGAUGAGAAGUUUUCUUUGUUGAGUAGUCGGUCUCUAUCUUGGCUAGGUAUAGAAGGUAUGCAAAACAGACUAUGCUAGCAAAUUCGAAAUGCUGAGUUUCGGGUGGUAACAUGGUUGGUGUGGUUUUAUGGAUUUUAAAUCUCAUUUUGAGCCUUGGUUCAGAAAGUUGUGAUUUUAGGUUUCGAGGGUCAACUUUGUGAAAAUAAUAUUUUUUUUUGAAAAUCUGAUAUCGUCAUUGAGUUUGGUGCAUUGAAUUUGAUAGGGUAUCAUAUUUCAUUUACGUUUACAAGAUUCUGGAUGAAUCUCGAGAAAUUCAUGGAGACUUGAACCCUAUAUAUACCCAUGUUUUGCCAUUCUUUUUCCUAUUUUUGAGACUUGGAGCUUAGGGUUUCACACUUUUGAGCAAUUUCUUUCAUUUCUAAGCUUGGGUAAGCUUCUAAACACCUAUUUCAACUACCUAACUCCAAUUUUAUCAUGUAUUUCUUAUUUUAACAUGGAUAAAGUGGAAAUUAGGGAUUUUGGCCUGGAAGACCCAAAAUUAUAUUUCUUCGAUUUAAAACUCGAUAUCAACCCAUUUUCACUUGAGUAAGUUUCUAAUCUUAUUAUUAUUAUUAUUAUUAUUAUUAUUAUUAUUAUUAUUAUUAUUAUUAUUAUUAUUAUUAUUAUUAUUAUUUUCAACAAAUUUCUUCUUCAAAACAACUUCAAUUUUUGAUUUUUAAAAUGGAUUUUGGGAUUUUACCCAAUAAAUCUAGAAAUUGUUUUUUCUUCGAUUUGGAUCUUGUUUUUAACUUAUUUUUUCUUGGGUUUUCAGUUGUUGACUCCUAAAAAUACGAGGAACGUGAUUUUGAAAUAAAAUUCUGAUUUUUCCUUUAUUUUUUAAAACCCAUUUCCGGGAUCCAUUUUGACGCCUACUUGAAAAUAGGCAAUAUGGGUAUCGUUGACUGUUGUUUGAUGCAUAGAUUCCAUAUUUUUAUAUUUUUGUUGAUUUCAUAUUAGUUCGUGGGGAAUUUGUCAUUCAAUUGAAGGCUUGCAGAUCAGUUUUUGACAUUUGAGGUAGGUUGUGGCGUAACUUCGUUUAGACUGGGCUGGGUAGUUAAUGUUGAUACAAAAUCACGUUAAGGGUGUGGGAACUAAUCAUGAAAAUGGAUAAUUUUAUUGUAUUGUGCCAGUGUGGGGGACUAUAUGUUGUUGUAUUUUAUGGUUUUGGAACAUUAUUAGCUAUAUAUGACCGUGUGAGGUCUUAAAUGAUAUUGUUUGCCAUGUAUAUGUGAAAUUGAUUAUAUGUUGCUAAUAAGAAAGCCCAACGUGGUAUCAAUUGUAUAUUGUGAUGCAUUCAUACUCUGUUGGCAUGUGAAUCAUGUUGGAUUUCAUGGAUGGUUGGAGAAUUAAGUGGAUAUUUGGCUUACUUGGUUGAUAUAUUAGUUGGAUAUAAAACUCUCAUGUUGGUUAGUUGUGAGCAUUUUAUCCUUAUAUCAUACUCAUUCAUGAAACAUUGGUACCACUGUAGAAAUACUAGAAACAUUGGAAAUACUAGUUUUUUCUAACAAAAAAUGUGACAUCUUAUAAAAUCCCUCCAUAAGGGAUGUCUCGAGGAGGAGAUAUAGAUAUGGAUUGUAUACGGGUUGACUAACCCCCAUGGGUCCUAUGUCUAGAAAAUUUAGCUCCAUAGGUGUAUACGGAGGUUGUGCAACAACCUUGUGCAUUACAUCAUCAUCAUCACCAUCUUUUCACGGUAUUUACCUUAUUAUGCUUGUAGUGAUUGUAGUUCUGUGUUAACUUGUUACCUGUUUAGUUUUUCUAUCUUUCUUUACUUGUACUUUAUGUUCUCGUAUAUGCUUGUUAUUUUUUGAUAUACUUUGAUGUGGUAUAAUGUUUAUAUGUGUCCUUUUUUGUGUUUGUUGCAAUAUAUGUAAGUAUUAUAGAACUAUUAGUGCAAGCGGUGUGAAAUACCUUUGUUGGAUAUUUUUUGAUUAUAGGUAAUGUUACCUUUGUGUGUUUUUUGUAUACUUCAUUUUCUAUUUUGAUCGGUCGGCCUAUGAUACCUACUGAGUAUAAGUGGACCGUACUCAUCCCUACUGUACCUUUUUGGUGCAGAUCCUGGUUCAAGUGCGCCUCCUAGUGGUUGAUUGGGGCAUUGUAAUGAUCCUUCUGGUCAUUUUUCAUAAUUCGAUUUAUUUUCUCUAUUAGAGCUUCUCCAUAGUUGCCCCAAGUCAUUCAUGACUUACUGGGACUGACAGUUUGGUUACCAGGCAGUUCGUUUGUUUUUUUAGAGCCAAUUCCCUAUUUUAAAGUCUUCGUUGGUUCCAAAUGGCAACUGGGCAAAAAUUUUAGCAAAACAACCUCAGAUGCAAAUUUUGACUAUUUUAGCAUCUCUAGAAUAUAUAUUUUAGACUAGGUAGACCUUUGGUUUGGAUUUUGAUGCACCCGAGUCAUUUCGACCUAUUAGUCGAAAUGUUAAAAAAUUAAAAAAUUAGGUGUGGGACCCACAUUUGGUUGAAACAACCUUGGAUGGAAAAUUCAAUUUCACCAAUGCAUCCAGAACAUUGAAUUUAGUAUGGUAACAUAGUUCAUUUGUGAAAAUUGGAUUCCGAAUGAGUACCGAGGCAUUGUUGGAAACUUAGAAAAUUUUCCAAGUUUGCUGAUAUCUGGUGUAUUACGAUCACACAAAUGGGACCAUGAUCGCACUAUGGAAAUUGUAGUGAGGCCUAUGGAAAUCGACCAUGGGAGAUUAGAGUUCAACUGAUGGGAAUAAUGACAUCUCUUUACCUGAAGGGGCUAUAAAUAGACCCAAAUAUCGUAAUUUUGGUCAUUUUCUCUCCAACCUUGAGAGCUAAAAACCAUAAACGGGUAUGAUGACUCAAAAUUGAGUAUUUUGGGUUACUUGGGAGCUUGAUUAAUACCUUUUAUCAUGAUUAUCAUUUGAAUUAAGGUAAGAUUUCAUCACCUUCUUGAUGAAUUUUUUGGUUUGUGAUGCAAAAUCCUAAAUUCACCGAGGGCUUGAUUUUAGCCCAAAGUUUGCUUGAUUUUUCACCCAUUUAUUAAGGGUGUCGAUUCCUUGUUCAAGUAUAAAUGUUGGGUUGACCUCAGAAAUAUGAUUUCCAUAAGUAAGACCCACUUGGAGUUUUUAGUGUCAUUUUUGGACUCAAAGCACAAUGAUGCAAUAUGGGUAUCGCUAUUCUCUUAUUGGAACAUAGAUUAUGAUCUUGAUAGUGUAAUGGCAUUUUGGGAUUGUGAAGUGAAGAUGGGCGUUUGUUGGAUGAUGUAUGUAUUUGUGGUUCGGCUUUGAGGUAGGCUUUUGUCUAAUCUUCUUCGUAAGAUGAUGUGUGUUAUAUAUUGAAUGUGAAUAUGAAUGUUAAGUUUAAUUAUAGGUAAAAUGACUUUGUAUUAAAUAUUAAAGUUUGGGGAUUAGAUGAGGUUUUUGACCCGUAAGUUGAAAUGCCUAAUAUCCUUUUGAAUCCUAUUGCCUUUUCCCUAGAUCGAACUAAUUUAAAGCAUGGAUACGAUAUGAUUCUGGGUUUGGGAUGAGGUUUAAUUGUUAAAAUCAUGAUUAGUAUGAUUAACCUUAGUUGGGCUAGUCUAGUGAUCUUGAAAUCAUAAUUUGAGUAGAGUUGAUUAAAUGCCCUUGUUUCUAGACAAAAUUCCUAUCUUAGGAUUGGUUAUGGCUCAAUUGACAUCUAGAAGUUGAAAUAAAUACCAUAGCCUAGUUUGGGGUGUAGAUUACCUAAAUAUAGGAAUUGAGGAUUAGAAGUGGGAUCAUCCGACCCACUUAAGACAAGACUUCUGUUAGUCCUUAUGGACAUAGUGGUGGAUUCUAGGCAUAGUUGAGACUAUUGAGCCUUUAGAAUAAGCUUACUUCAUGGCUUGGUAAAUUAUGAUGACUUUCCUCGGAUUAUAAUUAAUGGCCUUUAGAGAUAUUAUUCCUCUUAGAUAUGAUAAUUGGCCCAUAGAGAUUAUACUCCUCAUAGUAAUGACAUAUGACCUAUAUGUAUGAGAUGUCUUACAAAUGUGAUAAACCUAAUUGUUAUGAGUUAUGCUUCAUUGAUGCAUUAUGCCUCUUAGAUGUGAGAUGCCUCAUAUGUGUGAGACUAUUAUAGAUAUGCUUUAAGGAUUAUAAAGAUAUUAAGCCUCGUGAAUAUGCUACAACUUAUAAAUAUGAAAGGAUGUAAAAAUAUAAUUUGAUAUGGGUUCCAAAUAUGUAUGUGGGACAAAGACCAUGAUUAUGAUGUUAUAAUUAUUUCAUACACAUUAUUAGGCCUAAGGCCAUGUUAUUAUAUGAGUUGACCAUCGGGGAAGUUUCUAUCCUUGUAAAGGAUGCGAUUUUAGUUUAUUGACAAAUUAAUGUUUAUGGUUUCAUUGUAUGAAUAAUGGUGAUGGCAUGCAUAGAUUUGGUACAUUUAUGAUCAUUUCAUCGAUGAUUGAUAUAGCUUUGAUAAGAUUAUAAUAUUGUUAUUGUUGUCACUAACUAAGGGUUAAAGCCCACUUUUCAUCUUCAAUAAUAACUGCCUAACUUAAUGAAUAAUUUAUAGGUAAAAGAGGUUAAUAAUGAUGUUUUACAGACUUGAUAGAGAUAAGUUUCGGUCUAUGAUUUAUAUCACUAAUUACUCUGGUCAUGAAGGAUUUCGAGACACUUUUUACACUUUUAUAAUGACUUAGUCUUGAAGUUCACUCUAGGCAACAAUCUUAUGAAUUUACACUCCUUUAGCCAUGACUUAAGCCCAUGCACCUAUCAUAUCCAGAUACACAUGAAAGUUAUAAUAUUUAUGUUAGGUCCAUAUGCUUAUUUAUAAUGUGACAUUAAUGAUGAGCGAUGGAAUAUAGAAGUAUACUCUACCUUGCUUUCUUUUUAUGUUUAUUUACUUUAGCCCUCAUGGGGCUUGUUCUUUACUUUAUCCUUCGUGGGGCUUGCAGUUCACUUUAGCCCUUGUGGGGCCCGCUCUCUAUUAUUGACAUUUAUUAGGAUAUUAUGAUGAUGUGAUGAUACUCGGUAAGCCGGGAGGAUAAUAUGAUGAUGUGAUGAUACCUGCCAAGGCCGAAGGCUAUUAUGAUGAUGUGAUGAUACCUUGAAAGGGCAGAGGAUAUUAUGAUAAUGAUGUUGAUACCCUACAAAUCCGGAGAAUGAUCAUAUUGAUGUGCCUAUGUUCAUAUCUAGUGAUUCGAGUUCGGCUAGCCCUAUGUAUGGCAUAUAUAUAUAUAUACACGACAAAGCUGGAGGAUGAUUAUGACAGUGAUGGUUAUAAUGUUGUUAUUAUGAUAUUAUGGAUUCUGUUGCAUUCAUACUUGUAUGCGCAGAGCCUAUCGCUAUACACCUAUGUCUAUCAGCUCGUAUGAGAGGGUUGAUAGAUAUGGGUGAUGAUUAUGCCUUGUGUUGUUGUAUGUUGAUUGAACCUUCUAAGCUUUGGACGGUAGGGUCAAGCAUAGGCUUGGCUACAUAUUUGGUUGUCCGAAAUAGCUGGUUACUCACACUGAUUAUUAUUGUUAUAUCAUUAUUAUGAUCAUUGUUAUGGCGAGUGUAUGAUAGAUUGGUCAUUAAUUUGGUAUUGAGAUUUGAGGUAUGGUUCUAGUCUCUUCUAUAUUACGAAUUCAUUAUUAUGCAUUAUGCUUCAAGUUAACCUUAUAUCUAUAUAUAUAUGUAUAUCUAGCUACAUAUAGCUAUGGUAUUACCUUAUAUCCUUUCCUUUAUUUGUUUAGAUUGUAUAUUCAUUUCUUGGCCUUGUUAUUGUUAUAUAUCCUUUUUAUGUCCUUUAUUCCCAUUUUGGCCAGGGACAUACAGUAUAGUGUUUAGAUUUCUGAGUAAGGGUGGAAUAGGACAACUCAUCCAUAAAAUUUUCUUAGCCUUAAUAUGUUAGUCUCUUGAACAAAAAUAUAAUAUAAUAUCAUUAUUAUACCAUUGGCUUUGUUAUGUGAUUAUUGGAAUUAUGGGUGUAUUUUUCAUUCUAUUUAUAUGCUAUGUAUAUCAUCUUUAUCUUUUGUAACGCCCCAAAUCGGGUACUCAGAACGCUGCAUGGUGCUCACAACCCCAAAGGAUCACAAGCUAACCCAUGACUGAUAUCUGUACCUAUACACUAUAUAACAUACUAAAUAUAAUACAGAACUUGAGGCUGAAAGGCCAUAAGGUUCAAAACUACAUGACUGAUAAAAUAUAACAAUUGAGUGGGGUAAUAGAAUACCCAAAACUAAAAAAUUGUCUGAAUAUACUGUAGUUUGAAAAACCUCUAAAACAUAACUGUCUAGAUAAGGAGUUGAUGGGACAUGUCCCCAACUAAAUCCAAUUAUAAAUUAAUUAAUGAGAUAAUAAAUAAAUGGUCAUGUCCUCGAAAGAUGAGGAUUCACUGCUAACUCUGACUGCUGAGACUGGAAUGCUACUGAUGCUCUGGAGCUCGUGCUUCUAAAACUAUGGUAUAAGAUACCAAAACACAAAUGCAUCAGUACUUUGAAUGUACUUGUAUAAAUGGAAGGUAGGCUGAAUGUAUGGGUUUCAUAUGCAUGAACAAUACUGGCUAACUGACUAAUAUAAAUGUGAGAAUACAUGCAUGAAUAAGUCGUAACUAUAUUUGAGAUCAUGAUAACAUGAAUUUACUGAUAACUAACAUGACUGAUAAUUGAAUUUUGAUGACUGAUAUAACUGAUAACAUGAGUGAAUAUAUCUGACAGUCCUGAAUCUGAUGGAACUAGAUAAGUUCCAUACUAUUUUGAGUUGAUUGUAUCUGACAGUUCUAAAUUCUAUAGAACUAUCUGAGUUCUAUUACUGAGACUGAAUGACUAUAUCUGACAGUCCUGAUUAUAUAACUAAAACUGUGGGAAGUAGUUAUCUAACCGACAUGCCCCUAAUACACCAUUAUGGCUGAGUUGGGGUCCAAUCUGUAAUCCCAAUUGGAAGGAUGUCAAUACAGUUCCACUGGUAAGGACAAGCUAUGAGUGACCCUCAUCUGACAGUGUCUCCAAAAGAGAAUGGUAGGGCCCUCAUCUGAUAGUGCUUAUCCACCUCAUCAACCUUCAUCUGACAGUGUUGAUGUCUCAACCUAUGCUGGCUACAUAUUUCUUGAAUGCAGGGAUGACUUCUAAGAAUCAAACCCUCAUCUGACAGUUUGUGUUCCCAUCCUUGGGUUCACUCGGUGCUAAUUCCUACUCUCAUCUGAAUAGACACUGAUCAUGGAUUACUGAACUAAACUGGACUGAAUUAACUGAGUUCCAUUGACUGACAGAAUAGUACUGAGAUUACUGUAUUACUGAGCUUUCCUGAGUCACAUGACUGAUUGAGUUCUAUGGAUCAUGGCUUGACUGAGGAUAUCAUGAAAACAUGACACAGACUAUAGGCACAUAGCUAUAUUUUUCGAGUACAAGUAUCCCCAGGACUCGAUAGAAGGAAACUGACAAAGAAUGAAUUUCUUGAGUACAAGACCAACAUCAACAACACAAAAUACAUUGUCUAAGACAUUUCAUCAAACAUUUGGCAUACAUAAUUUGUACAUGAAUGGAGAUUUGAUAUUAUCAUACUAGUAUGACACUUUUCCUUCACAUAGGCAUUUAAUAAAAUAUGGGGGGGGGGGGGGUGNNNNNNNNNNNNNNNNNNNNNNNNNNNNNNNNNNNNNNNNNNNNNNNNNNACAAUCAUCAACACAUCUAAUAAUCAAGGAUACAUCAAUCAACUUGUGAAUUAAAGGGUUUAUCAUGAAUACCACAUAAUUUCUCACAUACUAGAUCAAUUCUUGUAAUUAAUAGUCUAUAACAUGGAAUGAAACCAAACAACAACAUGAACAUCACUUUUCAAUUCAAUCAAAUCAUGAACAUUUGUAAAUAUACAAAUCUUUGAUUUUAAAAAGAGAUUCUUAAGCUUCAUGGGUGAAAGAGACCCAUGAAUUAACAUAUGACAUACCUUAGUUCUUGAUAUAGCGAAGGUUGACAGAGGGACUUUCUUGAAAUUGAAUCCCCAAUUGAAACCCUAGCUUGUUCUUGAGAGAAAAUUGAGAGAAACUAGUAUAUAUUUUGGGUUUCAAAUAGCUGAAUCUCGUGUUAAAGGGCUUAAAUAAGGGUGGGAAAUUUACCCUUUUAACCCUGGAAACAUAUUUUAAAUUGGUUAAAAUGUCCCGACCUGAAUCCCUGGCGCGACGUGGUGCUAUCACGCCGUGUCACUGGAAUUUGACAAUUGGAAAAUAGGGAAAUGGUGCGAUGUGGAGACAUCACGUUGCCACUUUAUUUGCUACCUGGAAGUUUGGAGUGAUGUGGAGAAAUCAUGAUGGGACACUGGAAAAAGGACAAUUUCCAUUUUAUCUUGUGGUACGACGCGCACUGACCAAUAUGCCGCUGUUUUAUGAUGGGGACUUGAAAUAGUCAUAACUUCUUACCCAGUUAUCCGAUUUAGGCAAAUUUUAUAUUGAUGGAAAGCUUAUUGUAUUUACCACAUAAAAAAAAGUGAAAAUAUUUAAAAUCCCUAUGGAAUGAACAUCAUUCAAUUUAGAAGCUAAUACUUGACAUUCUUGAGACAAAAUUAGUUAGGAAACUUUGGGGUAUUACAAUAUCUCCCCCUUGGGAACAUUCAUCCUUGAAUGAGACUGACUGAGAGGGGAGAAACGAUAAGCCAAAGUACAUAAUGAACAUAAACACUGAAGUAUGACUACAUAACUGACAUUUGUGAGAUUCAUAUAGAGUAUGCAUUUCUGAUGCAUGAUUUCAUGACUGAGCUGAUACAUAAAUGCAUGACUGAGAGUACUGAUAAGCUGAUCAUAUAUAUCUGAUGCUUGAAUACAUGACGAAACUAAUUAAAUGAUUGAGAUUUCUAAUAACUGAGUCUUCACGAGGAGAAUGCAUGUCUGAUGCAUGGACAUAUGACUAAUCUGAUGCAUGAACAUAUAAUUGGAUAUGCAAUGGUACCUAGUACCAAGUUUAAAAAUGGAAUCCUAAACAUGAGGAUGAUAACAAGUUGUAACUGAAAUCUAGACAUGAAAACUAAAAAUCUUAAGGAGAACUGUUAUCUUGAGCUUGAUCUGAGUCAGCGGAGAAGAGGUGAGCGUACUUGAUACGUAUUUCUUCUUCUGCUUCCCAAGUAGCUCCCUCAACGGAGUAAUUUCUCCAAAGAACUUUAUCUAGAGGGACUUCUUUGUUCCUUAGUCUAUGAGUCUGGUAGUCUAGAAUUUCAACUGGAAUCUCCUCAUAAGAGAGGCUAUUCUAAACAUCUAUGCUCUAAAUAGGGACUACAACUGUUGGGUCAUCUUUACACUUCUUGAUCAAAGAGACAUAGAAGACUGGAUGAACUGAGGCUAGAUCUGAAGGAAAUUUGAGCUCAUAAUAUACCUUGCUGAAGCGACUGAGAAUUUUAAAGAGAAUAAAAUAUCGGGGACUGAGCUUUCCCUUCUUGCUGAUCCUCUUCACUCCCUUCAAGGGAGAGAUCUUUAGAUAGACAUAGUCACUAACCUAGAACUCGAGAUCCUUUCUACGUACAUCUGCAUAAGACUUUUGUUGGCUCUGAGCAGGCCAAAGUCUUUCUCUGAUUAACUGGACUUUCUCUAAGGUAUCGAAUACCAAGUCAGGUCCUAUCACCGAGGCCUCACUAACUUUAAACCAACUGAAUGGAGAUCUACAUCUUCUACGAUAGAGAGUUUCUAAUGAAGCCAUCCAAAUACUGGAAUAAUAGCUGUUGUUGUAUGCAAACUCAAUCAAAGGUACGUGGUCAUCCCAACUACCCUUGAAAUUAAUUGCACACCCUUAGAAUAUCUUCUAGGGUAUGAAUGGUCCUUUCAACUUGACCAUCUAUCUGAGAAUAAAAUGCUGUACUGAGAUGAACUUGGGUACCAAGACCCUUUUAGAAUGCUUUCCAAAAAUGAGAGGUGAACUGGGUACCUCUAUCUGAAAUAAUGGAUAAUGGAAUACCGUAUAAUCUGACCAAAUCCUUGAUGUAGAGUUUGGCAUAAUCCUCGGAUGAAUAAGAGGUAUGAACUAGAAGAAAAUGGGAUGAUUUAAUCAUUCUAUCUACAAUGACCCAAACUGAAUCAUGCUGGUGACGAGUACGAGGCAAACCCAUCAAAAAAUCCAUGUUCACUUCUUCCCACUUCCAAGUAGGAAUAUUAAACUCCUGCAUCGAUCCACUAGGAUUUUGAUGCUCUAUCUUAACCUGCUGAUAUGUAAAAGACUUAGCCACAAACUCUGUAAUAUCUCUCUUUAUCCCACUCUACCAAUAGAUCUCCCGCAAGUCGCGGUAUAUCUUUGUGGCCUGUGGAUGAAUAAAGUAGCACAUACUAUGCGCUUCUGCAAGAAUUUGCUGCCUUAAGUCAUCUAUACCUGGAACACAGAGAUGACCCUGACAACGCAAUACACCAUCUCCGCCUUAGGAGAAAACAUCUACUUUAUAGUCCUUAACUGACUCUUUCAACUUGACUAAACUGGGAUAUCUACCUUUCUUUUCUUUCACCUCAGAAACUAGAGAUGAUUUUGAAAUACUCUGAACCCAUAUGUGACCCUCCUCUGAAUCAACUAAACGAACACCUAGUCUGGCAAACUGAUGGAUUUCCUGCACUAACUUCUUCUUACUGUCCUCGACAUGAGUAACACUACCCAUAGACAGUCUACUGAGAGCAUUGUCCACUACAUUGGCCUUGCCCGUAGGAUAAAAGACACUCAUGUCAUAAUCUUUCAAGAGCUCUAACCACCUUCUCUAUUGAAGAUUGAGAUCUUUUUAAGAAAAGACAUACUGAAGGCUCUUAUGAUCGGCAAACACAGCUACAUGAACUCCGUACAAGUAAUGCCUCUAAAUCUUUAAGGCAAAAACAACGGCUGCUAACUUAAGAUUAUGAGUAGGAUAAUUCAUCUCAAGGGGUUUAAGCUGUCUUAAGGCGUAGGCUUUGAACUUACCAUUCUACAUAAGGACACAACCCAAACCUACUCUGGAUGUAGCACAGCACACUACAAACCCAUCUGGACCUUCUAGAAGAGCUAAGACUACGACUGAGGUGAGUCGAAUCUUCAACUCCUGAAAGCUCUUCUCGCAAGGAUCUGAGCACUGAAACUUGACUUUCUUCUGAGUCAAUCUGGACAUAGGGGAUGCAAUAGAUGAAAAAUCUUCAACAAACAAUCUUUAAUAGCUAGUCAAACCCAAGAAACUCCUGAUGUCUAAUGGAGGGAUAGGUUUGGGCCAGUUUCUUACCGUUUUGGUCUUUUGAGAAUUACUCUAAUGCCAUGUAAUACCCCAUAUGUUUCUAAGCUAGGAACUGAAUAUGUAUUCAUACAUAUGAAAUCUCCUAUUCUGUGAUUCAUACUUGAGUACAUGACUUACAAUGAAUAUCCUAGUGAUAGGAAAGCUUAUGAUGCAUUAAGCAUGUUCAUAUGAGUCACUUAAGGUAAUACAAGCUAAGAGUUUUUGAAUCCAUCAAGUUUUAGUGUUUGAUUUUGCAAGGGUCAUCUUUGAAUGAGUAUAACUCGAUGUUAAUGUGGUAUUUUGUCUGAUUUAGACCCACAAAAUUGUAGAGAUUCAAAUUAGCUUUCCAACGAUACCAAUUUAGCCUUAAUCCAAUACCCGCGCGAAAAGUUAUGCCCAUUUUUGUGAGAGAUAGUAAGCAUAGGCGAUUGGUUAGGAGCCGCCCAACCCAAGCAUAGGCGAUUGGUUAGGCACCACCUAACCUACCAUAGGCUAUCACUUGGGCACCACCUAAGUCAAUUCCAGAUGUCAAAAACACUCCGUCUUGAGUUAUUUUAAAGGNNNNNNNNNNNNNNNNNNNNNNNNNNNNNNNNNNNNNNNNNNNNNNNNNNNNNNNNNNNNNNNNNNNNNNNNNNNNNNNNNNNNNNNNNNNNNNNNNNNNNNNNNNNNNNNNNNNNNNNNNNNNNNNNNNNNNNNNNNNNNNNNNNNNNNNNNNNNNNNNNNNNNNNNNNNNNNNNNNNNNNNNNNNNNNNNNNNNNNNNNNNNNNNNNNNNNNNNNNNNNNNNNNNNNNNNNNNNNNNNNNNNNNNNNNNNNNNNNNNNNNNNNNNNNNNNNNNNNNNNNNNNNNNNNNNNNNNNNNNNNNNNNNNNNNNNNNNNNNNNNNNNNNNNNNNNNNNNNNNNNNNNNNNNNNNNNNNNNNNNNNNNNNNNNNNNNNNNNNNNNNNNNNNNNNNNNNNNNNNNNNNNNNNNNNNNNNNNNNNNNNNNNNNNNNNNNNNNNNNNNNNNNNNNNNNNNNNNNNNNNNNNNNNNNNNNNNNNNNNNNNNNNNNNNNNNNNNNNNNNNNNNNNNNNNNNNNNNNNNNNNNNNNNNNNNNNNNNNNNNNNNNNNNNNNNNNNNNNNNNNNNNNNNNNNNNNNNNNNNNNNNNNNNNNNNNNNNNNNNNNNNNNNNNNNNNNNNNNNNNNNNNNNNNNNNNNNNNNNNNNNNNNNNNNNNNNNNNNNNNNNNNNNNNNNNNNNNNNNNNNNNNNNNNNNNNNNNNNNNNNNNNNNNNNNNNNNNNNNNNNNNNNNNNNNNNNNNNNNNNNNNNNNNNNNNNNNNNNNNNNNNNNNNNNNNNNNNNNNNNNNNNNNNNNNNNNNNNNNNNNNNNNNNNNNNNNNNNNNNNNNNNNNNNNNNNNNNNNNNNNNNNNNNNNNNNNNNNNNNNNNNNNNNNNNNNNNNNNNNNNNNNNNNNNNNNNNNNNNNNNNNNNNNNNNNNNNNNNNNNNNUGGUAUGUGUUGCCAAUAUGAUUAUGCAAUGAACAUGAUAUUAAGAUUGUGUAAGUACUUCAAUGUGAUGUGAAAUCCUUUCCAUGCAAUACAUUAUUGAUAACCAUGCUUAGUAUGAGAUCCCUACUUAUGAUAUUAUAAAUUAUGGACUCUACUCUUAUGAUCAAGUCAGUUAUGUGUGUCAGUUUCCUUCCAUCGAGUCCUGNNNNNNNNNNNNNNNNNNNNNNNNNNNNNNNNNNNNNNNNNNNNNNNNNNNNNNGAACUCAAGCUAUGAUUCCAUAGACUUCAGUCAGUCAUGUGACUCAGGAAAACCUCAUGAUCUUAGUCAGUUGUCAGAUAUUGGUAACAUUCCGCCAGUCAAUGGAAUUCAGUAAGAUUAAGUCAUGCACAGUCAGUUAUUUAUGUCCAGUACCUCCAGAUGGGAGUAGAGGUUAGCACCGAGUUAACCCAAGAAUGGGAACUCACCCGCCAAUUCGGGGUAUGAUUCUUAGUAGUCAUACUUAUGUUCCAGAACUACGUAGCUAGCAAGGUUGAGACAUCUUAACCCAUCAGAUUAGGGUUGAUGAGGUGGCUUAACCCGUCAAUUUAGGGUUCCCACCGUUCUCAUUGAGUACCCACUAGAUAAGGGUCACUCACAGGCUAUUCUUACCCGUGGCACGGUAUUGACACCCCUCCAGUCAGGGAAAAGAUUGGAUCCCAUCUUAGCCAUAAUAACAUACAUGGGGAAUCUUGGUUAAACACUACUUCCCACGGUUUCAGUAUCAGUCUCAGUAAAAGAACUCAGGGUAUUCUUUAGAUUUUAGUUUGUACAAAACUAUUAGAUACAGUCGUCUCUGUUAUCAUUUUCAGUAUCAGUCCUGAUAGUUAUCAGUAAACCAUGUAUUAGCUUACAGGUCAUGCUAUCACGUAUUCACGGUCUUAGUUUCUAUAUAUGUGUGUUUGCACUCCCACGUUCAUAUUAGUCAGUCAGUGUUGUUCAUGUAUGAAACCCUUUAUGUUCAGCUUACCUUUCUCAUAUACUUAGUACUCCAGUUGUACAGACACAUUUGUGCUAUGGUGCUUUCUUUUCAUGUUACACCAUAGGUUCUAAGACACGAGCUCUAGCCCAGCAGUAGCGGUAGCAAUCCAGUCGCAGAGACACAGUGAGUCCUUAUUUAUUCGAGGACAAUAUGAUUUGAUACAUUUAUUUAUUUCUUCAGUUCAGUUUUAUGGAGUUAGUUGGAGACAUGUUCCUUCAACUCCUUAUUCAGAUAGUUUAGAGGCUUUCAGAUUACGUUCAGACUUUACGUUCAAACAGCUUUCAGAUUGAGUUUUUUUGGGUAUUUUCACCCAUAUGAUUAUAUUCAGUUGAACCUUAUGGCCUUAUAGUUCUAUGUAUUCUGCAUUAUUAUAUCAUGAUUUACAAUAUACAGGUACAGAUAUCAGUCAUGGGUUGGCUCAUAGUCCCUUGGGGUCAUAAGCACCGUGUAGCAUUCUGGUUCAGCGAAUCGGGGUGUUACAAACUUGAUAUCAAAGCGUAAGGUUCAAUAGAGUCCUAGGAAGUCUGAAAGCUGCAUUUAGUAAUCUUGUACAUGGGUGUGUUGUGCGCCACAUUUAUGUGUUGGAGGCUAUAAGAUGUUUUAGGAACAGUCCCUUUUCUUUAUUAUUCAUUUCAUGCUAGUGAGCAUAAUCACAAGUUAAACUCUCAGUCUAAUCCAUUCUUCUUUUAUUCCAGACUAUGGCCCCAAAGAGAAGAAACCAGCCAGCUCCUCAACCCGAAGAUCCUUUGGUGAAUAUAUUUUCCAUGCAGAGUUUAGAGCCGUAUUUACCAUACUUGCUCAGUCCAUGGCUGUAUAGAAUAAAUGGCCACCAGUCAUUCCCGCCAAUCCAGUGGCCACUCCCAAAGCAGCUAGGGUUUGGGACUUCAUCUGGAUGAACCCUCCAUCUUUCCAUGGGUCUAAAUCUGAUGAGGACCCUCAGGAGUUCAUUGUCCAAGUCCAGAAGGUCAUCGAUAUCAUGGGUGUUACUUCUAUUAAGAGUGCUGAGUUAGCCACCUACCAGUUAUAGGAUGUUUCUCAUGAUUGGUACAAAUAGUGAAAGUCUGAGAUGUUAGAUGAUACAGGCCCUAUCGAGUGGGAGGAAUUUUUCACUGCCUUCUUAGAUAGAUUCUUUCCCCAAGAGCUGAGGAAAGCCAAAGUUCUUGAGUUCAUCAACCUCAGGUAGGGGAAUAUGACGGUUAGGGAGUAUUCUCUCAGAUUUACUCAACUAUCCAGGUAUGCUCCUCAUGUGGUUGCAGAUAAUAGAGCUAAGAUGAGCAAGUUCGUGUCAGGGGUAAACGAUAGUGUGGUAAAUGAGUGUAGGUCCGUGAUACUGAUCGGUGAUAUGACCUUAGCAAGACUCAUGAUCCAUGCCCAACAAGUAGAAGAGCAGAAGUUUAAGACUAGGGAGAGGCAGAUAAUUUCAACUUUGCUCACCCCAAGUCAGAUGGAGGAAACCGUUCAUAGUUUCGCUCCAAGUCAGCCAUUCCAGCUCCUUCCUCUGCCAGCGCUCCAGUGUCAAAGUUCAGAGAUGGAAAUAGAAAUAAAGUGCCAGGCUCUAAAUCUCAGGGUAGUGUUAGCAGUGCCCGAAUGAAUCCCCUUUGUCAGACUUAUAGUAAGAACAAUAAGGGCAUUUGCAGAGCCGGUAGUGAUGUCUAUUUUGGUUGUGGCAAGCCAGGCCAUAGGAUUAGGGAGUGUCUGCAGUCAAGUCUUCAGGAUCAGCAAAAUCAUUCUACAGCUCAGUCCAGUCCCCCAAAUCAGCAGGGUGCCAUUUUCAGUGCUACCAGUGAGCAACGUCCAAAUAGACUCUAUGCUCUUCAGUCCCGAUAGGAUCAAGAAAAUUCUCUUGAUGUCAUUACUGGUAUGUUACAGAUUUUCCUUGUUCAUGUUUAUGCUUUGCUAGACCCAGGUGCAUCUUUGUCUUUUGUUACUCCAUACAUAGCAGGCAAUUUUGGAAUUAGUCCCGAAGUCCUAGCAGAGCCUUUCUCAGUCUCUACUCCAGUGGGUAAAACCAUCAUAGCCCGACGGAUAUACAAGAACUGCCCAAUUAUGAUAUCUCAAAAAUCCACAUCAACAGAUUUAGUGGAGUUAGAGAUGACUGACUUUGAUAUCAUUCUUGGCAUGGAUUAGCUUCAUUCCUACUAUGCCANNNNNNNNNNNNNNNNNNNNNNNNNNNNNNNNNNNNNNNNNNNNNNNNNNNNNNNNNNNNNNNNNNNNNNNNNNNNNNNNNNNNNNNNNNNNNNNNNNNCUUGUUUCCUACCUUCGGGCAAGGAAAAUGAUUUCUAAGGGGUGUGUGUAUCAUCUCGUACAUGUUAAAGAUUCCAGUUUUGAAUAUCCUAGCCUCGAAAUAGUCCCUGUUGUUAAUGAAUACUCAGAUAUCUUUCUCGAAGAUCUUCCAGGCAUUCCUCCCAAAAGGGCAAUAGACUUCGGUAUAGACCUUCUUUUGGAUACUCAACCUAUUUCUGUUAUGCCAUACAGAAUGGCACCAGCAAAACUCAAGAAACUAAAAGAUCAGUUGAAGGAUCUCUUAGAUAGGAGAUUCAUCAGACCCAGUAUUUCCCCAUGAGGUGCGCCAGUAUUAUUUGUGCGCAAGAAAGACGGUUCUAUCAGGAUGUGUAUUGAUUACCGUCAACUCAACAAGGUCAAGAACAGAUAUCCUCUUCCCAGGAUUGGUAAUCUAUUCGACCAACUUUAGGGUGCCAGUUACUUCUCCAAGAUAGACCUCAGAUCAGGCUAUCAUCAGGUCAGAGUUAGAGAAUGUGACAUUUUGAAGACAGCUUUCCGUACUCGGUAUGAUCACUUCAAAUUUUUAGUCAUGUCAUUUGGUCUUACCAAUACCCCUGCAGCUUUUAUGGAUUUCAUGAACCGUGUGUUUAAGCAGUACUUGGACAUAUUUGUCAUAGUCUUCAUAGAUAAUAUUCUGGUCUAUUCUCGCACAGAGCGUGAUCAUGCAGACCAUCUCAGGAUUGUUCUUCAGAAUCUCAGGUUUCACCAAUUAACUGCUAAGUUUAGCAAGUGCGAAUUUUGGCUAAGAUCAGUAGCAUUCCUUGGCCAUAUUAUUUCUGGUGAUGGCAUUAGAGUAGAUCCUCAGAAAACUGAGGCAGUAAGAAACUGGCCUAGACCCGUAUCUCCAUCAGAUAUUAGGAGUUUCUUAGGUUUGACUAGCUAUUACAAAUGGUUUGUCGAGGGAUUUUCUUCUAUUGCAUCUCCCAUGUCCAUAUUGACUCAGAAGAAGAUUAAGUUUCAGUGGUCAAAUUCAUGUGAGAAGAGCUUUUAAGAGUUGAAGACUUGGCUCACCUCCACUUCAGUUCUAGCUAUUCCAUAUGGUUCAGACGAUUUUGUAGUUUAUUGUAAUGCAUCCAGAGUGGGUUUAGGUUGUGUCCUUAUGCAGCAUGGUAAGUUCAUAGCCUACGCCUCUAGAAAGUUAAAGCCACAUAAGAGGAAUUAUCCUACUCAUAAUCUUGAGCUAGCAACAGUAGUUUUUCCCUUAAAGAUUUGUAGGAAUUAUCUCUAUGGAGUUCAUGUAGAUGUCUUCACAGACCAUAAAAGCCUCUAGUAUGUCUUUUCCCAGAAAGAUCUCAAUCUUUGCCAGAGAAGGUGGUUAGAGCUUUUGAAGGAUUACGACAUGAGUGNNNNNNNNNNNNNNNNNNNNNNNNNNNNNNNNNNNNNNNNNNNNNNNNNNNNNNNNNNNNNNNNNNNNNNNNNNNNNNNNNNNNNNNNNNNNNNNNNNNNNNNNNNNNNNNNNNNNNNNNNNNNNNNNNNNNNNNNNNNNNNNNNNNNNNNNNNNNNAUGUGUUCAUAGUAGUUCAGAGUCAUCUCUAGUUUCCGAGGUGAAAGAGAAACAAGACAGGGAUCCUAGCCUUGUCAAGCUCAAAGAGUCAGUUCAGAAUUAGAAAGUCAAGGUUUUCUCCCAAGGGGGAGAUGGUGUUCUUCGUUGUCAGGGUCGUCUAUGUGUUCUAGGUGUAGAUGAAUUAAGGUAGCAAAUUCUUGCAGAAGCGCAUGGUGCGUGAUACACUAUUCAUCCAGGGGCUACUAAGAUUUACCGUGACAUACGGGAGAUCUAUUAGUGGAGUGGGAUAAAGAAAGAUAUUACAGAGUUUGUGGCUAAGUGCUCUACAUGUCAGCAGGUUAAGAUAGAGUAUUAGAAACCUAGUGGUUCCAUGCAAGAGUUCACCAUUCCUACUUGGAAGUGGGAAGAAGUUAACAUGGACUUUGUGACAGGUUUGACUAGAACUCGUCAUUAGUAUGAUUCAGUCUGGGUCAUUAUAGAUAGAAUGACUAAGUCAACUCAUUUCCUUCCUGUUCAUACUUUUUAUUCCACCGAGGAUUAUGCCAAACUCUAUAUCAGAGAGUUAGUCCGAUUACAUGGUGUUCAACUAUCUAACAUCUCAAACAGAGGUACCUAGUUCACUUUUCACUUUUGGAAAGCAUUCCAAAAGGGUGUUGAUACCCAAGUCCAUCUCAGCACAAUAUUUCAUCCUCAGACAGAUGGUCAAGCAGAGAGGACCAUUCAGACUCUUGAAGAUAUGCUAAGGGCGUGUCCAAUUGACUUCAAGGGAAGUUGGGACGACCACUUGUCUUUGAUUGAGUUUGCAUACAAUAAUAGCUAUCAUUCUAGUAUUCAGAUGACUCCAUUCAAAGCUCUUUAUGGUAGGAGAUGUAGAUCUUUGAUUGGUUGGUUCGAAGUUAGUAAGGCCUCAAUCAUAGGUCCUAACUUAGUAUUCGAUGCCUUAGAGAAAGUUCAGUUGAUGAGAGAGAGACUCUGGGCUGCUCAGAGCCAACAGAAGUCCUAUGCAGAUUUUCGUAGAAAGGAUCUCGAGUUUGAGGUCAAUGACUAUCCUAAGAUCUCUCCCAUGAAGAAAGUGAAGAGGUUCGACAAGAAAGGAAAACUCAGUCCCUUGUAUGUCGAUCCCUUCAGAAUUCUUUGUCGCUUCGGCAAGGUAGCUUAUGAGCUUGAGUUGCCUUCAGAUCUAGCCUCAGUCCAUCCAGUCUUCCAUGUCUCUUUGCUAAAGAAGUGCAUAGGUGACCCAACAGUUGUUGUACCUAUUCAGAGCAUCGAUAUUCAGAACAAACUCUCUUAUGAAGAGAUUCCAAUCAAAAUCUUAGAUUAUCAGACUCGUAGAUUGAGGAACAAAGAAGUCCCUCUAGUCAAGGUUUUUUGGCAAAAUCAGUCUCAUCAGGGAGCUACUUGGGAAGUAGAAGCAGAUAUGCGUACCAAGUAUCCUCACCUCUUCCCCGCUAAUUCAGAUCAAGCUCAAGGUAACAGUUCUUCUCAAUCCUAUUCAGUUUCACGUUUAUGUUUCCAGUAUAAACUUGGUACCUAUUAACCAUUUCAUACUCAGUCAUGCAUUCAUGUGUUAGUUGUUCGUGCAUCAGAUAUGCAUCAGUUCAGUAUGUUUACCAUGUUAGUCAUGAGAUAAAUUUUUAGUUCUUCAUGUUCAGUUUAGGUUCUAUUGUCUUAUAUCCCUUCUUAGUAAAUUCUCAUUCGAGGACGAAUGUUCCCAAGGGGGAGAUAUUGUAAUACUCCACAUGUUCCUAAGCUAGGAAGUUAAUAUGUAUUCCCACGUAUGAAAUCUUCUAUUCUGUGAUUCAUACUUGAGUACAUGAUUUACAAUGAAUAUCCUAGUGAUAGGAUAGCUUAUGAUGCAUUAAACAUGUUCAUAUGAGUCACUUAAGGUAAUACAAGCUAAGAGUUUUUGAAUCCAUCAAGUUUUAGUGUUUGAUUUUGCAAGGGUCCUAUUUGAACGACUAUAACUCGAUAUUAAUGUGGUAUUUUGGCUUAUUUAGACCCACUAAAUUGUAGAGAAUUUAAUUAUCUUUCCAAUGAUACCAAUUUCGCCUUAAUCCAAUACCCGAGCGAAAAGUUAUGCCCAUUUUCGUGAGAGACAGUAAACAUAGGCGAUUGGUUAAGAGCCGCCCAACCCAAGCAUAGGCGAUUGGUUAGGCACCACCUAACCUACCAUAGGCUAUCACUUGGGUGCCACCUAAGUCAAUUCCAGAUGUCAAAAACACUCCGUCUUGAGUUAUUUUAAGGAUAUUUAAUUCUUUUAACACUCCUUACACGUCCCUAAACUUAACCCUACAAAAUAUAUAGCUUCUAAACAUAUUGCAACCCUAUUUUUAUGUCAAAUCUCAUCAUCCAAGAGCACUAAAAUAGAGAAACAACUAGGGUUGCAUAAUUAAGCUUGAAGAUCCAAUUUCAAGGAAAUUCCUUCGUCAAUUAUCAAGAAUCUUCCUUCUAAGGUAUGCGUAGUGUUCGUCCAUAGAUUCCUUUCUUCAGUGGAGUUCAAGAAUUAAUCUUUAAAAUAUAAAAGCUUGGUUGAUUAUGGUGAUAUGAUCAUACCUAUGUUGAUGCUUGUUUGUUUUGCUAUAUAAUAGUAUGCGUGAGUUGAUUUAUGGAUCCUUUUCAUCCAUAAAGCUCAAAAACCCUCUUUUUCAUUAUAAAGUAUGAUUUGUAUAUUGUUGGGUGUUGAUGAUCAUGUUGUUGAUAUUGGGUGAUUCCCAAGAUGGAAUCUUUAUAUGUUUUUUUGAAUUUCAUGAUAUCAUAUGAGUUGGAAACAUGUANNNNNNNNNNNNNNNNNNNNNNNNNNNNNNNNNNNNNNNNNNNNNNNNNNNNNNNNNNNNNNNNNNNNNNNNNNNNNNNNNNNNNNNNNNNNNNNNNNNNNNNNNNNNNNNNNNNNNNNNNNNNNNNNNNNNNNNNNNNNNNNNNNNNNNNNNNNNNNNNNNNNNNNNNNNNNNNNNNNNNNNNNNNNNNNNNNNNNNNNNNNNNNNNNNNNNNNNNNNNNNNNNNNNNNNNNNNNNNNNNNNNNNNNNNNNNNNNNNNNNNNNNNNNNNNNNNNNNNNNNNNNNNNNNNNNNNNNNNNNNNNNNNNNNNNNNNNNNNNNNNNNNNNNNNNNNNNNNNNNNNNNNNNNNNNNNNNNNNNNNNNNNNNNNNNNNNNNNNNNNNNNNNNNNNNNNNNNNNNNNNNNNNNNNNNNNNNNNNNNNNNNNNNNNNNNNNNNNNNNNNNNNNNNNNNNNNNNNNNNNNNNNNNNNNNNNNNNNNNNNNNNNNNNNNNNNNNNNNNNNNNNNNNNNNNNNNNNNNNNNNNNNNNNNNNNNNNNNNNNNNNNNNNNNNNNNNNNNNNNNNNNNNNNNNNNNNNNNNNNNNNNNNNNNNNNNNNNNNNNNNNNNNNUCAGUCAUGUGACUCAGGAAAACCUCAUGAUCUCAGUCAGUUAUCAGAUAUAAGUAACAUUCCACUAGUCAAUGAAAUUCAGUAAGAUUAAGUCAUAUAUAGUCAGUUAUUCAUGUCCAUUCCCUCCAGAUAGGAGUAGAGGUUAGCACCGAGUGAACCCAAGGAUGGGAACUCACCUUCCAGUACAAGGUGUGAUUCUUAGCAGUCAUCCUUAUGUUCCAAAAUGAUGUAGCCAGCGUAGGUUGAGAUAUCUUAACUUAUUAGAUUAGGGUUGAUGAGGUGGCUUAACCUAUCAGUUUAGGGUUCCUACCAUUCUCAUUUGAGUACCUGCCAGAUAAGGGUCUCUCAUAGCUGUCCUUACCUGUGGUACGGUAUGACACCCCUCCAGUUGGGGCAGAGAUUGGACCCCAGCUUAUCCAUGACGGCAUACAUGGGGCAUGUCGGUUAAACACUACCUCCCACAUUUUUAGUAUCAAUUUUAGUAAAAGAACUUAGGGUGUUCUUUAGAUUUUAGUAUAUACAGGACUGUCAGAUACAGUCGUCCCUGUUAUCAGUUUUAGUAUCAGCCAUGACAGUUAACAGUAAACCAUGUAUUAGCUUACGGGUCAUGCUAUCACGUAUUCACGGUCCUAGUUUCUAUAUAUGUGUGUUUGCACUCCCACGUUUAUAUUAGUCAGUCAGUGUUGUUCAUGUAUGAAACCCUUUAUGUUCAGCCUACCUUUCUCGUAUACUCAGUACUCCAGUUUUAUUGAUGUAUUUGUGCUAUGGUGCUUUCUUUUUAUAUUACACCAUAGGUUCCGAGACACGAGCUCCAACCCAGUAGUAGCAGUAGCAUUCCAGUGCAGAGACACAGUGAGUCCUCAUUGAUUUAAGGACAAUAUGAUUUGAUAUAUUUAUUUAUUUCUUCAGUUUAGUUUUACGGAGUUAUUUGGAGACAUAUUCCUUCAACUCCUUAUUCAGAUAGUUUAGAGGCUUUCAGAUUUACGUUCAGAUUUACAUUUAGACUUAGCUUUCAGAUUGAGUUGUUUUGGGUAUUUUCACCCGCAUGAUUGUAUUCAGUUGAACCUUAUGGCCUUAUAUUUCUAUGUAUUCUGCAUUAUUAUAUCAUGAUUUGUAAUAUAUAGGUAUAGAUAUCAGUCAUGGGUUAGCUUGUGGUUCCUCGGGGUCAUGAGCACCGUGUAGCAUUCUGGUUCAGCAAAUCGGGGUGUUACAUGCCAUCACCAGAAAUGAUAUGGCUAAGGAAUGCUACUGACCUUAUCCAAAAUUCACACUUAUUGAAUUUGCCGGACAACUGAUGAUUUUUGAGAGUCUGAAGUACAAUUCUGAGAUGGUCUGCAUGAUCACGCUCACUGCAGGAAUAAACCAGAAUACCAUCUAUAUAGACUAUGACAAACAUGUCCAAGUACUGCUUAAACACACGGUUCAUCAAGUCCAUGAAAGCUGUUGGGGCAUUGGUAAGAUCAAAGGAAAUGAUUAGGAAUUUGAAGUGACCAUACCAGGUAUGGAAGGCUAUUUUCGGAAUGUCACAUUCCCCGACUCUGAGUUGAUGAUUGCUAGAUCUGAGGUCUAUCUUACAAAAAUAACUGGCACCCUGAAGUUGGUUACAUAAAUCAUCGAUUCUGGGAAGUGGAUACUUGUUCUUGACCGUGACUUUAUUAACCUGACGGUAAUCAAUGCACAUUCUGAAAGAACCGUCUUUCUUGCACAUGAAUAAGACUGGUUCACCCCACAGGGACACACUAGUUCUAAUGAAUCCCUUAUCUAAGAGAUUAUUCAACUGCUAUUUCAGUUCUUUAAGUUCUGUUGGUGCCAUUCUGUAUGGAGGAAUAGAUAUAAGCUGCGUAUCUGAAAGAAGAUCAAUGUCGAAGUCUAUUUCCCUUUCAGGAGAAAUUCCUGGAAUAUCUUCAGGAAAGACAUCUAAAUAUUCAUUCUCUACUAGGACUGAUUCAAGACUGGGAGUUUCAGAACUAGCAUCCUUAACUAAAACAAAAUAAUAGACAGAUUCUUUAGAUAUCACUUUUAGUGCCCGAAGGUAGGAAACAAGGUGACCUUUGAAAGUUGAAGUUUCAGAAACUGAAAUUGGACUAUUCUAUUUCUGCAGUCGACUAUAGCAUAGUAGGAAUGAAGCCAAUCUAUGCCUAGAAUGACAUUAAAAUCAAUCAUCUCUAAUUUGACUAAACCUGCUGAAGUGACUUUCUAAAAUAUCAUAAUCGGGCAGUUUCUGUAUACCCACUGGGCUAUGAUGGUUUUACUCACUGGGAUAGAGACUGAAAAAGGGCUUUUCUAGAAUUUUGGGACUGAUUCUAAAAUCAACUGCUAUAUAGGGAGUGACAAAAGAUAAAGAAGCUCCUGGAUCUAGCAAAGCAUAAACAUGAACAUAAAAGAUCUGUAAUUUACCAGUAACCACAUCAGGAGAAUUUUCGUGAUCUUUUUGGGAAUGGAGAGUAUAGAGUCUAUUUGGGCGUUGCCUACUAGUAGCACUGGAAGUGGCAUCCUAUUGAUUUGGGUGACCGGACUGAGCUAAGAAAUGGUUCUACUAACCCUGAUAACCUGAUUGAGGACAAUCUUGACUCUGUGGCCUAGCUUUCCACAUCUAAAAUAGACAUCACUACCAGCUCUGCAAGCACCCUUGUGGUUCUUACCACAAGUCGGACAAAGCAGAUUGGUUCGGGCAUUGAUGACAUUGCCUUGAGAUUUAUAGCCUGGUUCCCUAUCUCUAUUUCCAUCCCUAAACUUAAGAGAUGGAGCACCGGCUGAAGAAAGAGAUGGAACUGAUGACUUAGGAUAAAACUGAGAGUGGUUUUCUCCUUCUGAUUUGGGCUGAGCAAAGUUGAAACUACCUAUCUUUGCUCUCUUAUUCUAUUUCUCCCUCAUCUUAACCUUUUGUUCUUUUAUCUACUGAGCAUGAGUCGUAAGCCUGGCUAAAGUUAUGUCACUAUUUAACAUCGCAGACCUAUACUCGUUGACCACACUAUCAUUCACACCAGAAAUAAACUUAUUCAUCUUGGCCCUACUAUCUGCAACCACAUGAGGAGCAUAUCUAGCUAAUUGAUUAAACUUAAGAGAAUACUCUUUCAUCGUCAUGUUUCUCCGCCUGAGGUUGAUGAAUUCUAACACCUUAGCCUCUAUCAGCUCUUUGGGAAACAAUCUAUCUAAGAAUGCAGUGACAAAAUCCUCCCAUUCAAUAGGCACUGCAUCAUCUAGCCUUUCUGAUUUCCACUGUUUAAAUCAAGUGAGGGCAACAUCCUACAACUGGCAUGCAGCUAGCUCAGUACUCUCGACAGGAGUAACCCUCAUGAUAUCUAUAACCUUCUGAACCUGAUAGAUGAAUUCCUGAGGGUCCUCAUCUAACUUAGACUCGAGAAAGUAUGGAGGAUUCAUUCAGGUAAAGUCCCGAAUCCUAGAUGCAGCUAAAUUGGACACUGGGUUGGCCAAAACAAUGGCUAGCCGUUCAUUCUGAGCAGCAACUGACUGAGUAAGAGUGGUGAAUGCAGCUUUGAACUCUACAUGAGAAACAUGUUUGCCCAAAGGUUCUUCGGGCUGAGGGGCUAGCUGAUUUUUGUUUCUUCUUUUAGGAGGCAUGUUCUAUAGAAGAAAGGGAGAAAUGGAUUAGACUGAGAGAUUGACUUGAGAUUAUACUCACUGGCAUGACAUGAAUGCUGACAAAAUGGAAAACUAUUCCUAAAACAUCUUAUAGCCUCCUGUACAUAAAUGUGGCGCACAACACACCUAUGUACAAGACUUUGCUAGAUUCGGCUUUAAGACUUCCUAGGACACAAUUGAACCUUAGGCUCUGAUACCAAGUUUGUAACGCCCCAAAUCUGGUACUCGAAAUGCUGCACGAUGCUCAUGACUCUGAAGGACCACAAGCUAACCCAUGACUGAUAUCUGUACCUGUACACUGUAUAACAUACAAAAUAUAAUGUGGAACUAGAGGCUGAAAGGCCAUAAGGUUCAAAACUGCAUGACUGAUAAAAUAUAAAAUCUGAGUGGGGUAAUAGAAUACCCAAAACUGAAAUUUUGUCUGAACUUACCGUAGUCUAAAAAAUUUCUAAAACAUAACUGUCUGGUAAGGAGUUGAUGGGACAUGUCCCCAACUAACUCAUUCAGGUAAAGUCCCGAAUCCUAGAUGCAGCUAAAUUGGACACUGGGUUGGCCAAAACAAUGGCUAGCCGUUCAUUCUGAGCAGCAACUGACUGAGUAAGAGUGGUGAAUGCAGCUUUGAACUCUACAUGAGAAACAUGUUUGCCCAAAGGUUCUUCGGGCUGAGGGGCUAGCUGAUUUUUGUUUCUUCUUUUAGGAGGCAUGUUCUAUAGAAGAAAGGGAGAAAUGGAUUAGACUGAGAGAUUGACUUGAGAUUAUACUCACUGGCAUGACAUGAAUGCUGACAAAAUGGAAAACUAUUCCUAAAACAUCUUAUAGCCUCCUGUACAUAAAUGUGGCGCACAACACACCUAUGUACAAGACUUUGCUAGAUUCGGCUUUAAGACUUCCUAGGACACAAUUGAACCUUAGGCUCUGAUACCAAGUUUGUAACGCCCCAAAUCUGGUACUCGAAAUGCUGCACGAUGCUCAUGACUCUGAAGGACCACAAGCUAACCCAUGACUGAUAUCUGUACCUGUACACUGUAUAACAUACAAAAUAUAAUGUGGAACUAGAGGCUGAAAGGCCAUAAGGUUCAAAACUGCAUGACUGAUAAAAUAUAAAAUCUGAGUGGGGUAAUAGAAUACCCAAAACUGAAAUUUUGUCUGAACUUACCGUAGUCUAAAAAAUUUCUAAAACAUAACUGUCUGGUAAGGAGUUGAUGGGACAUGUCCCCAACUAACUCCAAAUUAUAAAUUAAUUAAUGAGAUAAUAAAUAAAUGAUCAUGUCUUAAAAAGAUGAGGACUCACUGCUAACUCUGACUACUGAGACUAGAAUGCUACUGAUGCUCUUGAGCUCGUUCUUUAGAACCUAUGGUAUAAGACACCAUAGCGCAAAUGUGUCAGUAAUUUGAAUGUACUGGUAUGCAUGGAAGGUAGGCUGAAUGCAUGGGGUUCAUAUGCAUGAACAAUACUGGCUAACUGACUAAUAUGAACGUGAAAAUACAUGUAUGAAUACACCGUAACUAUAUCUGAGUCGUGAUAACAUAACUUUACUGAUAACUAACAUGACUGAUAACUGAAUUCUGAUGACUGAUAUAACUGAUGACAUUAGUGACUAUAUCUGACAGUCCUGAAUCCGAUGGAACUAGUUUAGUUCCAUACUAUUCUGAGUUGACUAUAUCUAACAGUCCUAAAUUCUGCAGAACUAUCUAAGUUCUAUUACUGAGAUUGAAUGACUAUAUCUGACAGUCCUGAUUCUAUAAAUGAAACUAUGGGAAGUAGUUAUCUAAUCGACAUGCCCCUAAUACGCCAUUAUGGCUGAGUUAGGCUCCAAUCUGUAACCCCAAUUGGAAGAGUGUCAAUACCACGCCACUGGUAAGGAUAAGCUGUGAAUGACCCUCAUCUGAUAGUGUCCCCAAGAAAGAACGAUAGGUUCCUCAUCUGAUAGUGCUUAUCCACCUCAUCAACCCUCAUUUGAUAGUAUUGAUGUCUCAACCUAUGCUUCCUACAUAGUUAUAGAACGAAAGGAUAACUCUAAGAAUCACAUCCUCAUCUAACAGUGUGUGUUCCCAUCCUUGGGUUCACUUGGAGCUAAUUCCUACUCCCAUCUGAAUAGACAAUGAUCAUGGAUUACUGAACUGAACUGGACUAAAUUAACUGAGUUCCGUUGACUGACGGAAUAGUACUGAGUCACAUGACUGAUUGAGUUUUAUGGAUCAUGGCUUGACUGAGGAUAUCGUGAAAACAUGACACAAAAUCUUAUCACACAACUACAUUUUUCCAGUACAAGUGCCCCAGGACUCGAUAGAAGGAAACUAACAAAGCAUGACUUUCUUGAGUAUAGGACCAACAUCAACAAUACCUAAUCCAUUAGCUAAGAUAUUUCAUCAAACACUUGACAUACAUAACUUGUGCAUGAAUGGAGAUUUCAUAUUCUCAUACUAGUAUGGCACUUUUCCUUUACAUUGGCAUUUAAUCAAACAUAGGGGGAGCGUGCUAUGGUUAUACAAUCAUCAACACGUCUAAUAAACAAGAAUACAUUAACCAACUUGUGAAUUGAAGGGCUUAUCAUGAAUACCGUGCAAUUCCUUACAUACUAGAAUCAAUUCUUGUAAUUAAUAGUCUAUAACAUGGAAUGAAACCAAACAACAACAUGAACAUCGCUUUUUAAUUCAAUCAAAUCAUGAACAUUCAUAAAUAUACAAAUCUUGGAUUUUGAAAAGAGAUUCUUGAGCUUCAUGGGUGAAAGAAACCCAUGAAUCAACACAUGACAUACCUUAGUUCUUGAUUUAGUAAAGAUUGAUGGAGAAACUUUCUUGAAAUGGAAUCCCCCCAAUUGAAACCCUAGCUUGUUCUUGAGAGAAAAUUGAGAGAAACUAGUAUAUAUUUUAGGAUCCAAAUAGCUGAAUCUCGUGUUAAAGGGCUUAAAUAGGGGUGGGAAAUUGACUCUUUUUAACCCUGAACACAUUUUUUAAAUUGGUAAAAAUUUCCUGACCUGGACCCCUAGCGCGACGAAGCUAUCGCGCCGUGUCACUGGAAUUUGACAAUUAAGAAAUAGAGAAAUGGCGCGAUGCGGAGCCAUCAUAUUGCCACUUUAUUUGCUACCUAGAAGUUUGGUAUGAUGUGGAUAAAUCGCACUGGGACACUGAAAAAAGGACAAUUACCAUUUUAUCUUGUGGCGCGAUGCUCCACUGACUAAUAUGGCACUGUUUUAUGAUGGGGACUUAAAAUAGUCAUAACUUCUUACCCGGUUAUCGAAUUUAGGCAAAUUUUAUAUUGAUCGAAAGCUUAUUAAAUUUCCCAUAUGAAAAAAAUUGAAAAUCUUGAAAAUUCCACAUGGAAUAAACAUCAUUCAAUAUAGAAAAUAAUACUUAACAUUCUUGCGACAAAAUUAGUUUGGUACUCAUACUACACUUCUACAACAUGUAGAUCAUAGUAUGGGUUAUCGUUGUUGAUUUAUGCAUCAUGCGUAGCAACCAUGGUUUGGAGACUUAGAGUGAGCUCCUGAUGUUCAAAGUACUACUUACUUCCCUCUUAUGUAUUAAACUAAUCUCUAUGUUGUAUUCAGUGAUAAUUUGUAUCAGUGUAAUUUCUUUGAUAUUCCACUUUUGUUCUCAUUAUAUUAAAAGUUCCUGUAAUGAUACCACCAGGUUUCAGGACUUUAUUAUGUAUUUGAUUUUCUUAUUCCAUGUAUUCCAUAUUUUUUCUAUAUAUAUUUGGUAGUCGUUGCUAGCCGUUACAGACUAUAGGGUUGGCUUGGCUAUAUGUGGGUUAUAGUGGGUGCUAUCAUGAACUUAGAAAUUGGGUCAUGACAGGCGCCUUCAAAAUUAUUCAAGGUAGUGGUUGGAUUUCAUGAGUCUGGAGUUCACUUCUAUCUAUGUCUUUACUAGUAUUCAGAGACAGAGUUGUUCUUGUUGGAUUUCUAAUAUAUUUGAUUCAUGGAUUGUAUUAGUAGUUCUUACACUGGGACUCCAGGUUUUGGGAGUUAUGGCAUCAAUAAUGAUAUGUUUCUUUUCCUUUUUAUUAUAUGUAUGUGGUUCGGCUUCGUUCUAGAAGUCUUGCCUUGGGGUUAUUGUUGUCUUUUCCCCUUGUGUAUCUGUUUGGGUGAUAGGCUUAUUUGUUAAGGUUCGCCGUGACUAGUGUCAUAAUGACCCUUGAUUUUUGGGUCAUGACACUACUCAAAACCUCAAAAUAUACAAGUCACUCUUGAACGCUUUAUGGAUCGGGCCUACUCUCCCCACAACUCAUAAUAAUACAAAUCAACAAUGGACAAAGGAAAAAUGGUCAAAAUAGAGAAAACUAUAAAAAAUCACCAUGAGGGUUGUUAUAUUAUACACCUCUAAAACACCACAUUUGUCCUUGAAAGAAUCUAGAAAGGGAAGUACGUAAAUUAGUAAAAGGCUGGGGGCAUCAACUACGUAUAUCAGACUAAACCUCCUAUGUAGGCUAUUCAAUUAAGUGAUGUCUCCACUAAACUUGCAUUGAGUCAAUAUUCUUGGAUCUUAACUUUCUAUUAUUUCUAUCUAAAAUAGCAAUAGGAUUCUUAUUAAAGUACAUAAUCAUAGUCUAAAGAAACUGAAUCCUACUAGAUCACAUGAGAAUCAUCAAGACGACAUCAUUUUAAUAUCAAACAUGGAAUUUUAGAUGAACAACAGACAGGUUUAGAGGUAAAUCCAUCCUAUAGGCCAUAUCCCAACCUUCUCAAGAUUCUCAAAAGACCCAGUAGACCUCAGACUAAGAUUGUUUUGUCCGAACCUCAUUACACCUUACAUGGCUAAUACCUUACACAAAAAUUGCACAUCUAGCAUGAAAUCCACAUCAUGAACCCAUUGAUUAGAAGUCUUCUGACUACUCUGGGCUGCCACUAGCCUCUGCUGAAUCAAUAUCACUUGAUCCAUCAAGUCUCAAAAUACGUAAGUACCCUAAGGCCUCACCUCAAAGUCAUCAAACCAUCCUAUGAUAGAUCUAUACCUCCUCCCAUAUAAAUAUUCAAAGGGGCAAUCUGAAUUCUUGAAUGGUAACUUUCAUUGUAGGCAAAUUCCACUAAAGGCAAGAACUAGUCCCAAUGACCACUAAAAUCUAUAACACACGCUCAAAAUAUAUCCUCUAACACCUGAAUGGUCCACUUAGAUUGGCCAUCCUUCUAAGGAUGAAAUGUCAUGCUUAUCACAAGUUGGCUCCCCAAUUCACUCUGCAUAUACUCUAAAUUUAAGAUAAACCGAGUACCUCUAUCAGAAAUAACGGAGAUAGGCAUGCCAUGUAACUAAACAAUCUCUCAAAUGUAGAUCUUGGCUAACCUCUGUGCAUUAAAAUUCACCUUAAAAAAAUACAACGUACACUGAUUUAGUCAUCCUAUCCACAAUCACCAUAAUGAAAGCAAACUUCCCCAAAAUAACGAUAGACAAACCACAAAGUCAUAAUAAUUUUCUCCCGUUCCCAGUAUAAAAUAAGUAUCUAUUGCAUCAUACCAUUUGAUCACUGAUGCUCAUUCUUUACUUGUUGACAAUUAAGAUAUUUGUCAAUAAAUUCCACAAUAUCCUUCUUCAUCCCACAUCGCCAAUAGUGUUGCUUCAAGUCAUGGUAAAUUUUAACUGCUCCUAGAUGGAUAGAAUACCUCGCACUGUGAGCCUCCUCUAAGAUCAAUCAAAUAAAGUUACUAACAUUUGUCACAAAAAUACAACCAAUAAUCCUUAACACACCCUUAAAUCAAGAAAUGUCACCUUUGCCACACUGUUCAACACUUUAUCAUGAAUCAUUCUCAACUUCUCUUCAUCAAACAGUCAAGCUUGAAUUUGCUCUAUCAAUGAGGAUUUAGACUCGACAUAAUCCAAAAUAUGCCCUAGUAUUGAAAUAUCAAGUAGAAUCAACUGGUCAGCCAAAGACUAAAUGUCUACGGCCAAAGGUCGUUUCUCCACCAGAAGAUAAGCCGAACUCCCCGUGCUUGCUUUUUUUGACUCAAUACAUAUCCUACUGUAUUAUCCUUGCCCAACUUAAGCAACUCCAACCAUCUACGUUGCCUUAUAUUAAGCUCCCGCUAAAUGAAGAAUUACUAAAGGCUAUGAGGAUCAGGUAAAACUCAUAUGGACCUCAUUCAAAGAAUAAAACCACAAUUAAACAAGAACACAACCACAACUAAAUCCAAAUCAUGAGUAUGAUAGUUGUUAUACUGGACUUUCAACUAUCGAGAGGUAUAAGCUUUCACUUUUCCCUUUUACAUCAACACACCACCCAAGUCAACCCUAGAAGUAUAAAAAAACACGGUGAAACCUAUGCCCUUGUCGAGCAAAAUCAAGAUAAAAACUGAAGUCAACGAAGCCCUAAGAUUUUUAAAGAUUCUUUCACACUCGUUCGACCACUAGAAUACAACCUUUUUUGAGUUAAUUUAGUCAAGAAGCCACAAUAAAAGAUAAGCCCUCUACAAAGCACCGAUAGUAGCCCACUCACUUAAGAAAUCUCUAAUUCUCUAUAAGAGAAGUAGGCCUAGCUCAAUCAUGCACCACUGAUACCUUUGUUGAAUCAACUAUGAUACCAUCUUGAUCACCAUAUAACCUAACAAAGAAACAUCCAAAACUCAUAGUUGGAACAUCCAAAACUCACAGUUGGAGAACUUGGCAUACAACCACUCAUCUCUCAACCUCUGAAGUAUGGCCAUCAAAUUCCUUUCAUUCUUUUCCUCACUCUUGGAAUUAACCAAGAUAUCAUCGAUAAACACAAUUACAAAAGAAUCAAGAUAAGGUCAAAACACCCUGUUCAUCAACUCAAUAAGUCUUGUCGGGGUGUUAGUUGGUCCAAAAUAUAUGACCAUGAACUCAUAAUGGCCAUACCACAUUAUAAAAUCUAUCUUUGGAAUAUCUUAAGAUCUAGUCUGUAGCUGAUGGUAAUCAGAUUUCAAGUCGAUCACACAGAACACUAUAGCAACCUGAAGCUCAUCAAAUUAUUAAUACACGAAAGAGGAUAUUAUGUUUGGUUUAGGUUUUGAGUCCUUAUUUGGGGUUUUAUGCGCUUUGACAAGAAACUAGUGUAAUUAUCCUGAAAAGAGUUUAUGGGAUUAACUUAUUGAUAACAAACUCUUUUGACAAAUAAAAUGGUUCCAUUGAGUUUAGAACAUCAAAAUUAGUCUAGUAUCAUUAUUAAUUUAUUUCCCUGAGGUCACAAAUGAAUCUCAAGCAUCUAUUCAGAGAAUUUUGAUCAUUUCUUUUGGCUGAUCUACUAUUUCUGGUGCAAUAAUGAUUUCUUCUUUACGUUUGCAGGUAUACCUUUGAGUUCAUGGAGAAUUAUUUUCCUUUUCAUCACAAUUGUGGAGUUUAGCUCACAUUUUCAAAGUUUUUGGAGAUUUGGUCAUUACAAACACAGUGUGGAGGCUGCGUUCACAAAGGGUUAGCAGUCUUGGUUCGAUUUGGUUACCCAUCAUGUUUAUGAUUCUCUAACCUAUUCACAAGGGUUUGGGUCAUGCCAUCCUCACAUUUGUGAUAAGAAGGUCAUAUUUCUUAAGUCCAUUUAAUUCUUAAAUAGUAUGUAAACCCAUUUUCCCAAUUUGAGUCCAUGACCACCAUUUUGAGGUUAGAGGGCCCGAUUUUAAGAAUUUUAAUAAAGGAGUUUCACCAAGCGUGUUUGGAUAAGCCUAUAAACAUGAUUUCCUUUAUUAUUCAUUGAUUUCACCUUGAAAACAAACUCAAAAUUGAAUUUUAAACUUGUAUUAUUGGGGUUUUACCCAAUAAAGUGAGAAUAUGUUUUUUCCUUCCAUUUCAAGCUCGAUUUUAACUUAUUUUUUGAUUAAUUUUCAUAUAUAGAAUCCUUAAAGUAUGGAAAAAAUGAUUUUUCAAUAAAAUUCUAAUUUUACCCCUUUUCCUUUGGGGUCUAUUUUCAAACUAUUUUUGUACUGAUAAUAAAAAUAUCUAAUAUAGGUAUUGUUAGACUCCUCGUGAUGUGUAGAUUACGUUUUUGAUAGAUUGGGUUUGUUUUGAGACCCCAAGAAAAGGAAAGAAACCCAAAACCUGGUGAAAUUAGCACAUGAUCUUCUAAUAUAUUAAGAUUAUCAAAUGAAAUACAAAAUAAAUACAAGUGUAAGCCAUCUCUAAAUACAACGUAGAGAUCAGCCUAAUCAAUAAGAAAGAAGGUAGUAAUACUCGAUUACUUGGAGCUCGCCUCAAAUCUUCGAUCCAUAGUUGCUCCGUAAGAUGCAUAGAACAAUGGUGAGAACUUGUACUAUGAUCUGCAGGCUACAGAAGUGUAGUAUGUGUACCAAACACAUAGCUUUUAGUAGGCAUCAACCGACUAAGAUCCAAAGAUAUUGAAAGCAUAAAUACAUGUAAAGAAGGAAUACAAACUAUAGGCAGCCAUCUAAGAAAUUAGACAUGAUAACGCUAAAGAAACAAUAAGGGUAAACUCAUUCUAUCCUAAUGGUAAUCAAGGUCUAAAUUGCAAUACCAUAUAUCACUAGUCUUAUAUACAAAGAAAUAGUGAAGGAAAGUUAUAUUGUAGUAUAUAAGGCCAAGAAUACAUAUACAACAUCAACAGACAAAGAAGAGAGGGAUACACGGUAGUAUCAUGUAUAUAUAUGUGUGUGUGUGUGUGUGUGUGUGACUCAAGGUAGUAGCCUAAGGGAUCCAACCUAACAUCUCGAGGGUCAUAACUUGGGAGGCAAGCUAAGACUAACAUAAUAAGGGUCCCUAAUCAUGAAAUCUAACCAAGAGAUAGCUAUCAAUAAUAUAAUUUACUAUAAAAGGAAAAGGGAUGAAUUAUAUGAACAACCUCGGGUACCAGUUCAUAAUAAACCUACCAUGAACUAACCAUAAUAACAAUAAUAAAUUAAUCGGCUAGUCUUGACAAACAAUACCUAAAUGGUCCCCUAGAAUCCCAAAAGGUUCAAUCAACACCCAAAAAAUAACAAUCAUAACUUAUACCUAUACAACUCCCCAUAAGAUCGAUAUAUAUAAGCACCAAACAUUUUACUGGUGAUAGGUAAGGCAUAUGAAUAAACGAAUGGAAGUAAAUCAAUAGUACCAUAUCUGAUCAAAGAUCCAUAACAUACCAAGUUUAUAUACUUCCUCUAGAUAAAGGCAUAACCUAUGACAACCUCUCUUCUCUGGCACUAGGACUCACAGACAAAGAGGUCCCUAGAGGAUUUGGGAAUAUCCAUAUGCACUACCUGGUCCCUAUCCAAGAUUUCCAAUCAUCAAUAUACUUUAUCUAGUAUCACAGAGAUGUAUAUAUAAUAAGUGGACAGACUCGAAUAAUGACUAAAAUAGUGUAAGUUUGUAAAUCAAUUGUUCGAGAUCAACUCCUAGACUAAAUCAGCAUAAAAGUAUAAAACAGGUUGUCUCUCUCGACCAAAGUAAUAGUAGUGGUAAAAGAGUGGAUAAACCAUGGACUUGAAUCUAUCUUGGUCUAAUUGACCAAAUAUCAUCAUUAGAUCCAAAAGCUCAGAAAUCAUUAAGUAAGGUGGUAUGAUUCCUAUUAUAAAAGAAUCCAUUUUAAAAGCAAAAAGUGGGAAUAAAUCCUUUUUUAGAAAAUAGUAGUAAAAUCAUAAUUUUGGUUCGAAUUGUACCCUUACGUUAUCAUGACUGCACAUAAAAGUAUGCAUGACAUCACUGAUAUCCAAACAAUACAAAAAUAGCAUCUAAAUAUCUAUAGACUAGAUUCAUGCCUUUUCUAAGUGUAGAAUACUCACCUGAAGUCCAACCAACUUCGUAAUCACAACCUCAUGCCUAAUAUUAUAUAGCUAGCAUAAUAGUAACACUAUGACCCGAGAAACUGUGAUUCAAUUCACCAAGUCAAAUAGUAAAUCUUAUACUAGAGGAUCCUUAAUAUCUAUAUAUGAUUAGUAUGCUUAUAAACUCAGGUGCUACAGCCAUAACGAGUAUUUUAUCUUAAAGGUUGAUUCACCCUUCUAUCCCCAAACUUGUAAAUUAGGCUAAGUCAUGAUAUUCUAGUUAUAAAAAUGCCAUAUCAUACCCACCUAACAUGUAAUCUACACUACACACUAUCUCAUAAAGGAAAGUAGACUAGAGCCUAUCUUAAUGUCGAGCCGUAAUCCUUAAAUCAUCCACAAAUUGCUAGUCCUUGCUCCACAAUCCUUAAAUGCCACCAUAUUAUUAGAAUAGUAAUCUACACAUCAAUAGUACUAAAAUGAGACACAUAUUAUUAUAUAAAAAGUUGGGUCAGAAUUUAGGUCAAGAAUGGGCCCAUUGUGUUCACAAAUAGAAUACAAUGUUGAAUCCAUUAUGAGGUCCCUCGAACGACAAGGAAUUUGUGAUCAAAAGUUAAGCACCAAUGGUUCACAAAUCGAGGCCUAAAUCAUCCCCUAAGUCCAAGUAGUUAAGGACCUAAUUUCUAAGAAUUUUCAAUGAAAGAGGAUGGAAUUUGACAGAGAGAAUAAUGGGAAAUAACCAAGGAGUAUUGGCCUAACUUACCUUAGCUUCAAUGGAUGAUUCCCUACGUUUCACACGAUCCAAGCUCUCAAAAAUGAGAGAAAAUGGUUGAGAAUUAAAUGGAAAAUUUGGGUGAAGUAGAGGGAUUUAACAAUCCCAGGUGCUGCUAAAUUGUUCAAUUGGUCGGUUAAGCACUACCGCUUCAUUGACCGCUAAAGCAGCCAAGCAAGAAGAGGCGGGGAUCAUUAAAGCGGUCUGCUAGCCACUAAAGUAAUGUAUGCUUAAGCAAACCUUAUCCUCUAAUGCGAACCUCAAACAAAUGGCCAUGACUGCUAAAAUAGCUCAGGGUUGCUAAAGCGACUACGCUUAAGAGGAUCUUUGACUGCUAAAGCGGUCAAACUAGAUAUAAGGCACCAAAUAUUUGGCUAAGUCCAAGAUCGGAUGCUCGAGAGUAAUCUAAAACUCCGUGUGUAUGAACGAACUAUGUUACCAUACCAAAUUUAACAUUCUGGACUUAAUGGAUACAUUGAAACUUUCACCGAAGAUUUUUUUGGCUAAAAUUUGAACCAACACCUAUAUUUCUAUUUUUCAUAGAAUCCACUCAAUAGCCUAAAACGAGUCUAGAUGCCUUGAGACCUAAACCAAGGGUCCUCAUAGCCUAAAAUCAACAUUUUAUAGCUGAUGAUAGUGUCAGAAUUCUCAUCCAUGGUCGUUUAAUAAGAUUUUUGGUUCAAGACCAAUUUCUUAACAAUGAUAGCUCCAAAAUAGGCAAAUGAGCCUAAGACCUCAAUGAUCUGCUCGGUAACUGAACUGACAAUUUUGGCAAGUCAUAAAUGACUUGUAGCUACUGUGGAAAUGCAUGAAAUAAAAAAAAUGCAUGAAAAUUUAGAAAAUAACCUGGAGGGUCAUUAUAAUAUCCAUUACUAAAAGAAGUCUUUUCCGCAAAAGUCACUAGAUAAAAGGAGGACGAAAGCUCGAAGGGGUGAGGUACUGGGCUCGCAUGCUCUGAGAGAGACUCCCUAGAUAACCUCCAAAAAGAAACAACUCUUCCAAGUGAUUUUGAUAUAUGUAUCCAUUUUUCAAACAACUUUAUUACUUUAUUUUCUAAAUUGCCAAAACUCAUUCUUAAUUUCCAAAUAGCCUCUAACUGAACUAGUAAUGACUGAAGAACGAAAUCCCAAAUGACAAAAUAUAGAUAUCAACUGAUAUGAGCGUAACCUUGCUGAAACUCAGUCAAACUAAAGAAAAUACAAGUUGGGAAUUAUGCAGCCAACACCAAUAUCUAAGUAUAAACUUUUUUUGCCUUUCAAAACCUGAUAUCUACUUCAAAAUAUGUAAAAUGUCAUCUAAGUUUUGUCCGUGCAACCCCAUCACACAAACAUCGAAGACUAAAGCGGAUCCCCCAAGCAUAAGAAUAAACCUAUAAGGUGUUACCUAGACUCAUAAAUAGAGAUGGUCAAGCCUGCGACCUCUUGCCCAGGGUACAACUAAUCCAGAUGACCCGCAAAAUUGAUAGUUAGGAGUCGAAAGCACAAACACUUAAAACUAAACAAUCCGCUCCAGAAUGUUCUACCAGCCAAGGAAGAAGCCAUGCUAACCCAACCUGAGUAAACUACUUUUUCUUAACAGACAAUCUAAAAUUUUGGUGAAAACUGAGAACCAAGGCCAAAAGUAGAAGAAACCACCAUUAAGUAUCAAGGCUCUAUCAUCUGAAUAUCAAUCAACCAAAAUCUGUUUAAAUUGAAGUAGACUGAAUAUGUAGCUAAAGAGUAGGCUUAGCCAACCUAUAGAUGAAUGCUCGACUGAUGCAAUUCUAGAUAUAGAGGUUGUGCCUUAGCUACACAAUCCAUAGUUGAAAUCUCAAUACCUAAGAUGACCCAUUCAGCAUCAACUUUUCAAAUUAAUCCUGAGGACGGGUGAGCUUUCAAAAUCCAAAAUCUUCCAUAAACAUCAAGCUGCCAUUCAAGUGAGUCAAAAUUCCUAUACAUGAGCCAUCAAGUCUCACCCAAGGCCGAACACCCAAAUCAACCUCACUAUAAAAAAUUAGGCAUAUCCCUACUAGUUCCUGAAAGAAUUGAAACUAAAAUUUUUCAAAGAACAUAACCACAAUAAUGGAAAAUCACCAGCUGAAGACACAAGCAGUCAACUUUACAUUUACUGAAGGGGAUAUUGCACCAAGGCACACCCAAUAACUUACUAAGGCUGCAAGUAGUACUAGUGAUAACCAAAAUAAUUAUAACUUAAGGAAAAGCAACUUUAGCAUGAAACUGGUCAAUCCAAUGCUCCAUAUACAACAAGGAAUACCCAUAGGCACAUAUCAUCAAGGAGAACCACUAUACAAAGUCUCAUUAGAUUGAAUAAAUGUUGAAAUGAAGAUUUCAUGAAUCCACCCAUGUAAAGAAACUUAACCUAAUUAAACUAAGAAUCACCUCACAGAAAAAUAUAGUACCAAUAUUAACAUCAAAGAUAACGAAUUCCCAAUUGGACAUCUUACCAGCUUAAGAAUAGGUUAUAGAAAAGGAUCACCCAUCUCCACCACCCUUAACUUAAUUAGAUUAAGAACCACAUUGCGUAGAGAAUGGAGUACUAAUUUACAUACCAAUACCAAGAUCAAAGAAUUCAUCAAAAGACGAACCCAACAACUAGAAGGGCAAACCUAAGACCUUUUGAUAUCAACAUCAGGACCACUAUGAGCCGAUGAACUAGACAAAUCAAAAUAACCAGCCUCAGAUAUAUCAACCUCAUAAAUAGUCUAGAGAAGGAAAAACAAUGCUAAAAUAACAACAAAUCAAAGGUAUUUCCUUGAAUCUUAACCUUAGAAAUAGGCAAUAAAACCCAAUUGCCAACUCUUGAACCAUAAUAGAACUAAGAAAGAGUAAUCUACCUUCACUUUUAUUUACCACUCAAAAGUCGAUCUAACCUCACCAAUAGAAGAGGAAAACAACCAACCUCACCUUACUAAAAAAGAGAAAACCAUCCAAUCGAUCUAGCCGCCUAGGCUGGCAAAUAAAAGUUAUGAGAAAGAGAAUUCUAACUAGAUAAUGUUAGUCUAGUCAUUAAUUAAGUAAGGAUAGACCAAUGUUAAAACAAUGACAAUAAUAACAAAAUAAACAGUGACACCAAUAUAAGGUGUAGGUGGUACCAAAAAUGAAAAUCAAUAACAAGUAACACUCUAGGGCCAUAAAAAGGUUAAUAUGCCACGAUAAAUAGGACUUGAACCCAAAUGCUAAACCCUUAGGGAAAUAUAAAUACCAAUCCACUCUAUCCACUACUAAAGGAAAUCAUAUACGAGGGUAGUCAUAUAUGUAUGAAAUGUAUACCAAGGCAUAAAGCAACCAAUACAAAUAAAUAUCAAAGUAUAUAGUCAUCGAUUGGUAUGAAAACUUUAAUUCAAAUUAAUAGAAGGUAAAGACAAAAAUUAAAAAGUGCACCUAUCAUGAUGGAAGUCUAUAUUCAUAAGUUUGAUAUGCUCAAAGGAGUAUAAAAUCUGCACAGGUCCAAACUCAAGCUGAGCGUCUGACUCAUUGACUGAGGUACUAAGUGCACCACCUCUAACCAAAGAUGCCACAUCUCUAUGAUACUAAUCUAGAUAAGUUGAAUAACUAAUAAUACCAUGUUGGGGACAUUAUCUAGACUAAUAACAGGUCUUUUUGCAGUUGUAACAAAUUUUUGAAGCCUUAACCUAACAAAAAACAUAAACUAACCCCAAUUGGCUGACCAAUUGGUGUCGAGGACAUUACCUACUAAAAUAAACAUCAUCGAUGGAGCCAUAACACAUAUUAGGAACCUUAGGUUGGUAAGUAACACUUUCUAACUAUGUAUGAACAACCAACUUGCAUCUAAGGCACUUUCUUGAACAAUAACUAAUAUUGCCACAACCAAAACAAGCUCCUAGAAUACUCUAAGGUACUACACCCACUGAUCCAAAAUGACCACCAUGACCUAAAAAUCCAUUCUGACUACUCUACAAGGUGUGAUGAGAACUCUACCCACUAUGACACCAUGACUAAUCUAAAAGUGACCUAUAGUCUAAGAUUCUACCUAUAUGGAAUUGUCAGGCUGUAAGUGAAGUUGAUCCAUGUCGAGAGGAUCCAUACUCCUUAAUAGAAUAUAAAUGCUAUUGUAUUAAUGUUAUGGCCUCUUACCAUCACCUCCAUGUGUCCCAAUACAUGGUUUUUUUAUGGCCCUCGUGUGAUCAAUAGCCUAAGGGAAAGAAGAACCAACUACUAUCAAAUGCUCUUAUGCCAAAUAAAGUGGAAAAGCUAAUCUCCUAAUAAAUUUAUGCACAUCUCAUGGUCUGAAGAAUAUAGCAUAGGAGUGUGUUUGGCCGACUCAAGAAACCCAAUCUCAUACUAUGAAAUCAAUAAGGAACCUUGUUGAACACCAAUGAACCCAACUCUAGCCUGAGAACUGCUCGAUUUUUGAUAUAUCAUUUUGACUAUGAGGUAUUCAUAAAAAGGCUCAGGAUCCCCAAUACUAAAUUUUGAGAGGCUGAAGUAGUCAUAGACUCUAUCGAAUCUUGGACUAUCCAUAAAUCCUCUGAAUAAUACUGAAGAUCUUUGAUAUUAAUCUCUGACUCCCUAGAUUGAUACUGAGAUAAAGCUCUAGAAAUGUAUGCAAAAGUCUCAUCUACAUCUAUUGAUAACCUUGCGUCAUCCAUCUGGAAUGGAAUAGAGCCAGAGAAUGUUGUAAAGGUUAAUUGCAAUAAGGACACACGACAAGGAAUCAAGAAUAGAAUUUUAUAAGAAUGCCCUAUACCCUCCUGAAUAUAGGCUAUGAACAUCUCCAUAUUGAUCCAGAAGACUCUACUAGACACUUAGCUCUUGUACCAAUAUACAAAUAAACCUAGGCUUUGAUAACAAUUUGUCAUAACCUAAUUUCUUAGGUCAUGAUGGCACGUACUAUAACCCACCAGUAGGUAAGCCAACCUAUUUUAUGGAAAAGCUAGUAACAGUCUAUCAAGCGAAAUAAAAGAAAAAUACAGAACAAAUAUGAUAAAAAGCCUAAUAUUAUAAUACCCCACAUUUUUGAACAAGAAUAUGAACCAUCAUUCCUAUGUAUAUAAACCCAAAUUAAAUGAUUUCCAUGUCAAAAUAAGUGCGUUGAUCAAUUCUAUAGAGUGGGAACAUAUUGGGAUAUGAAUCAAGAUCAUAAAGAUCUCCUAACUCAAAGAUGAGUUGAGAACUUUUCUAUUGAUUGAGUUUUAGUGGAUGUUUCAACUUGGGUCAACUUCCAACAACCAUUACUUCUAGAAUGUAAUGAGUUAGGUAUCCUAUAUAUCAAAUGAAAGUCUUUGAGUAUUCUUUCAAAUUCAUCCUAUUCCAUACUAAUCCGAUAUUGUAGUAGAAAUGUAUGCUCAUUUUACCUCAGAGUGUUUAUCUGAGAGAAGGUUACAACUUGAGCUGAUAAGCUGUUAACUAAGUGACGAGCUGUCAACUAAGUCAUUAGCCUUACCAAGAAAACACCUUAAAUCACUUAGGUAAGGUGACAACUAAGUUUAUCAGUUCUUAACUAGUUGACAAGUUGUCCACUAAGUCUUCAACCUUAACCAGAAAGUGUCCAUGUAUAGUUAGAGGUUGACGACUAAGUUGACAAGUUAUCAACUAGUUGACAAGAUGUCAACUAAAAAUUUCUGCAAUUUUCUUUGAGUUUCCUUAGGGGUAAUUUGGUCUUUUCCUUGCAUUAACUUCCUUUUCCAUGACUUAAAACCUCCAAUACAUGCAAUUUUUCCCAUUCAAAGUCAGUUUUAAAAGUUAUUUUGUCUUUCCACUAUCAAGAACAAAAAGCAAGGGUUUCUUCAAAGAAUUCACCUCCCAAGGCUCUAAAUCCCAGUUCCCUUCAAGAAGUCAAGAAAUUUAGGUAAGUGGGUAUUCAAUGAGGAUCUCCUUCCAUCCUCAUGCCUAAAUUAUAAUUUUUUCAUGAAUUUUAUGAUCUUUAUAAACUAGGGCUUAACCCAAAUUAUCACUCGAAGUGUAAAAUUCAAUUUCCCAUGAUGCAAUUUUCACUCCUAAGCAUGUUUUAAUGAUUAUUUGUGGUUUCUUAGGCCCAUAUCAUAUCAUUCAUGCUAUUCUCAAAUCCAUGCUUUUUUUACAUGAUAUUAUUUAAGAUUUCAAGCAUAUGAUCAAGAAAUAUCAGUUUUCCCUAAUUUCUUUAGAAUAUUUUGUAAUUAAACCAUGAGUACAUGUUUUCCCAUAAGAAUGGAAUCCUUCCAUAUUCAAGAAUCAUGAAUUUUCUUAUUAAAACCAGUUGUUGAAUUUUUGGGUUUUAUUAAUGAAAUUCUCUUAUUAUGAUCAGUUUACAUGGUUUUAAAUACUUUAAAUUAUACAUGCACUAUUAUUUUUAGAAUACCAUAACUUGAGCAUAUCAAUAGUCAGUGUAUGUACCAGUUUAUGCUUCUGUGUCAGUUCAGUUCGGAGUAGAACUUAACACCGAGCAAACCUAGGGAUUAAGGCUUACCUACCAGCUUAGGGUGAGACCUUUAGUAGCAGUUCCAUCAUUCCAAAAACUAUCCCAUCAUUCCAAAAACUAUGUAGCUAGUAUAGAUUAUGAGAUAUCUUUCUGUCAGUAUAGGGUUGUAAUAACGCUCAACUUACUCCCAUUCUUUAGGGGUGAGGCGGUCAUUGUCAAUAACCCAACUAGAGUUGGGGUCAAACCCACAUGGAGUGAAUUAUAAAUUUUGAGUCUUAUGGGUGUUGUAGUUACUAAAAAUGUACCCAAAAUACUUACAAAUAUGACAUGUAAAUUAAAAUGGAGGAUUCGAGUUAAGAAUGGUUUGUAAUAAUUAUUGAUUAAUAAUAAACAAAUAUAGAACUUUUAAUUUAAAAUUAAGAAUAUAAAGGAUCUUAGGAUUAUGUCUAACUAAGAGUAAAGCAUGUGGGUUAGUGACAGUUUAACUUGAAGCUUAGAUACUGAUCAAAGGAUAGGCUAGGUCGAAGUCAUUGUAGUCAAUCUUUGAAUAAAACUACAAUGAUAUCACUUAUUGGCUCGAGCACCUAACAAGUGUACAAUUUGUAAUCACCUAAACACUCAAUCAAGCACCCUAUUUCUAGGAUAAUUCUCUUAACACGAUUUACACUCCAACUACACUUAUUUCUUAGAUUAAAAAAGGUAGUAAACCAUAGGCUCAAUUGUCCACCAUUACCUUGUCCCCCAAUAGCCCUUUUUCUAGGAUGUUAUGGGCUACCUCAACUUCACAUUCAUCUCUGUUUCAAGGACGAUCAAGGGUUUUAAGAGUUUGGGGUUUUAAGCCAUUGUAAUGCCCCAAGUCUGCAUCGCAGACAUUAUAUGAUGCUUACAACCCCGAAGGGCCAUAAGCUAACCCAUGACUGGUACCUGCUAUGAGCACUGAAUAAUAAUACUAAAAUAAAUAUGGAAGUUAGGCUAAAGUUUUCGUAAGGUUCGUAACUAAAAACCAACACCAAAUACUGGUAAAUAAAUACUAAAAACUAAACAUCUAUUUGAAAUAAUCUAGUCCAAAAGCAUCUAACAGUCUGAACAUAGAGUUGAUGGGAUAAGUCCCCAACUAACUCUAACUACUGAAUAUACUGAACAACUAAAAUACUAAAAUAAUAAUGCUAUCCUCAAACUGUGAGGACUCACCACUAUCUGCUGCUGAUAUUCUGGACUAUUAAGUAUAGUCAAGAGCCUGUAUGUCUGAACCUAUGAUAUAAGACAUCAUAGCGCAAAAGAAAGAGUAUACAUUAGUACUUUAAAUGUACUGGUAUGGUAAGUGAGGUAGGCUGAUAUGCAAGGGUUCAUAUGCAUGAGCAAUAACUGGCUGAGUAUAUGAGUAUAGCUGAAUGAGAGUACAUGUUUAUCUAAAACUACUAUAAUUACUGAUUAUGCAAAGUUGUGUAUGAAUUUACUUUACUAUAACUAAGAUCAUUGAUAACUGAAUUACUGAUAACUAGGUGACUGUUAUUGACAGUCUUGAUUUUGUGGAAUCGAAUUUAGUUUCGUAUUAAGCUGGGUGACUAUAUAUGACAAUCCUGGUUCUAAAAAUUAAACUGAGGUUUUAUACUGAGUCUGAAACUAAAACUAUAAUUGUGGGAGUGUUCAUCUAACUGACAUCCUUAGUUGGAAGGGUGUUAGCACCUUGACAAAGGAUACUAACAUCGUCUAUGAGUUAACCCUAUCUAGCAGCAAGAUAUUUCAUCAACCCUCACUGGCAGGAAAACCCAUACGAGAUUGGUCAACCCUUAUCUGGAAGGAAGACAUCUCAACUUACGCUAGCUAUGUAGUUCUGUGAUGCAGGGAUUGCUAUUAAGGGUCAAACCCUACACUGGCAGGAAUUCCUUCAUCCCUGGGUUUGCUCGGUGCUGAAUCCUACUCCCAACUAAAAUAGAACUAAACUGAUUUAUGGACUGUACUAGGCUUGAUUGAACUAUUACUGACCGUUCUUACUGACUGAACUGGACUGAGUUCACUAAGUUCUAUUAACUGAUUGAAUACACUGAGUUCUGUAAUUGACUGAGUACUCUAUACAUGACAUCACUGAGACUAUUUUGUAGCUACUAAAAUUCUAAGUAAACAGCUAGAUGUUGGGUAUAAAUAUCCCCAGGACUUACUAGCAUUGAAAGUAAAACAUAACACAAUCUUGAAAGCAUGAUAACUACCCACUUUGUCACAUUUCAUCUAUUGAGGUAUUUUAUCAAACAUACAUGGUAUAAAUUUGUAUACAUGCUAACAUAUUAUGAUUUCUCUAUUCAAAUUCAACCAAUAUGAAUAUUUUAUCAAACACUUGGGGAGCAUAGUUCAUGCACAUAAUGAUAAUAAAUAUGUAAGCAUUAUGACUACAAUCCAAACUCACAAUUUCAAGGGAAUUUUAACAUAAAUCCACAUGACUAUACAUAGGUUAAUUACUUCACAUGAAUCUUGUCAUAAAACAUGGAUUAGAAACCCAAAUAACAUUGUAAUCAUGAAUACAAUCAAAUUCAACACGAAAUCCAUGAAAGCAAUCAUCUUAUAGUUUUAAAAGAGGUUCUUGAACUCCAAGGGUGGAAGGAAACCCUUGGAUGAAUAUCCAACAUACCUUGAUUGUUAAUUUCAUAGAGUUUGUAGUGAGUUCUUGAGACUUGAUUCUUGAACUUGAUGAAGUUAGGGCUUUUUCUUGAGAGGAUUUUGUGAAAAGGAUGAGCAAUUAUGCUAUUUAGGGCUUUAAUCUUGUGUUAUGGUGCUAUUGGGUGAAGGAAAAAUGAUCCAUUUACCCUUAAAAACAUAGAACAAAACUACAGAAAUUACCUGAACUGAACUGGCCAGGGCGCUGUAUGCUCUGGAGCACCGCUCUGGGUAGGGAGCCACGGUCUGCAUUGCGGGCUCCCCCCAGCACCGAAUUGGGCAAGGCGCCACAGGCUAAUCGCCCUGAGCCACUAUUUUGGAGUUUCAAACACUCUUUUACACAUUUCCAAAAAUUUUAAAACUCACCCGAGAUGUACUAUUACUUCCCUGAUUAUAAAUCAACUUAAAACUAACUUUCUAAGGUUGGGAAGGUCAUAACUAAAUUCCUCAAAGUUUGAGGGCUUUAAAAAUGACUGUCAUAACACUUAGCUAAAAUUUUCUAAGUCUGGGACCUCUUUUGACAUGUUUUAAAGGACUCAAACGAUUAGGAUUCUGCGGGUUCUUACAAUAUAUCUCCCUUAGGAACAUACAUCCUCGAAUGAGACUGACUAAACUGAGAAUAAUGGUAGACUGAGCUUACAUACUGAACAUGCACAACUAAAGCAUGAUUACAUGACUAAAGCUACUGAUGUAUUGAGUUUUUCUACUGAACAUGCAUAACUAAAGCAUGAUUGAAUUCCAAAGAUAUGACACAUGACUGAGCUAUUUCAUGAAGGUAUGCAUGAUAUGAGGAUGUUAUGCAACUGAACUGAUAUCAAACUCGUAAAGGAAAUCUAAAUAUGGAAUUGAGUAAAUUCAUGAAAGAAUGUUACCAUGAGCUGAGUCUGAGUUUGUAGAGAAGAGGUGAGGAUACUUGGUCCGCAUGUCUGCUUCUACUUCCGAAGUAACUCUCUUAAUGGACUAACUCUACCAAAGAACUUUGACUAGAGGAACUUCUUUGUUCCUUAGUCUGCGAACCUGAUGAUCAAGGAUUUUGACUGGAAUUUCUAUAUAAAAAAGACUGUUUUAAAUGUCUAUACCCUCUAUAGGGACUACAACUGUUGUCUCACCUAUACAUUUCUUUAGAAAGGAGACAUGAAACAUUGGAUACACUACAGCUAGAUCUGAAGGCAACUCAAGAUCAUAAGCCAUCUUUCCAAAAUAGAUGAGAAUUUAGUAAGGAUCGAUAUAUCAGGGACUGAGUUUCCCCUUCUUGCCAAACCUCUUCACUCCUUUCAUAAGAGAUAUUUUCAAAUAUAUAUAAUCACCAAUCUCAAACUCUAGAUCUUUUCUUCACAUAUCUAUGUAUGAUUUCUGUCAGCUUUGAGCUGUCUUAAGUCUUUCCCUGAACAACUGAACUAUUUUUAAAGCAUUAAAUACCAACUCAGGCCCUACCACUAUGGCCUCACCCACUUCAAACCAACCAAUGAGAGAUCUACAUCUCCUCUCAUAGAGCACCUCAAAUUGAGCCAUCUGAAUGCUAGAAUGAUAGCUGUUGUUAUAUGCGAAUUCAAUCAAAGGCAAGUGGUCAUCCCAACUACCUUUAAAAAUCAACAGUGCAAGCUCUUAACAUAUCUUCUAGAGUUUGAAUGGUCCUUUCUGCUCUACCAUUUGUCUGAGGGUGGAUGAUUGUGCUGAGGUGAACUUGGGUACCAAGACCCUUUGGAGUGCUUUCCAAAAAUGAGAGGUGAACUACGUACAUCUAUCUGAAAUAAUGGAUAACAAAACUCCAUACAAUUUGACCAACUCACUAACAUAGACCUUGGCAUAAUCCUCGGCUGAAUAAGAGGUAUGAACUAGUAAGAAAUGAGCUGAUUUGGUCAUCCUAUCCACAAUGACCUAAAUUGAAUUAUACUGGUGACGAGUACGAGGCAGACCCAUCACAAAAUCUAUGUUCACUUUCUCCCACUUCUAAGUGGGAAUACUGAACUCCUACAUAGACCCACUAGGAUUUUGAUGCUCGAUCUUAACCUGUUGGCAUGUUGAGCACUUUGCUACAAACUCUACAAUGUCUCUCUUUAUCCCACUCCAGUAAUAGAUUUAUCGUACGUCACGGUAUAUCUUGGUGGCCCCUGGGUGAAUCAAGUAGUGUGCACCAUACGCUUCUGGAAGAAUCCACUAUCUGACGCUAUCCACACAUAGAACAAAUAACCGACCUUAGCAACACAAUACACCAUCUCCCCCUUAGGAUAAAACCUUUACUCUCUGAUCUCUGACUGACUCUUUCAGUUUAAAUAAACUGGGAUCCCUGCACUGCUUUCCUUUUACUUCAGAAACCAGAUAUAAUUCUAAACUAUUCUACACCCAGACACUACCCUCUGCUAAUUUGACUAAGCAGACACCUAGUCGGGCAAGCUAAUGAACUUCCUGAACUAACUUCUUACCAUUUUCAACGUGACCCACACUACCCAUGGAUAAUCUACUGAGAGAAUCAACCACUACAUUGGCUUAUCCCAAAUGAUACAGAACACUCAUCUCAUAAUCUUUCAACAACUCUAACCACCUUUUCUAAUAUGGGCUCAGAUCUUUUUGAGAAAACACAUACCACAGUCUUUUAUGGUCUGUAAACAUAUCAAUAUGUACUCCAUAAAAGUAAUGCCUCCAAAUCUGUAAGGAAAACAUAACAACUGCUAACUCAAGAUCAUGAGUGGGAUAUUUUCGUAGGGUAUAAGAUAUCUAGAGGCAUAGGCUAUGACCUUAUCUCUCUGUAUCAAAAUAUACCCCAAACCAACUAUGGAAGCAUCAAAAUAUACCACUAACCCAUCUGAAUCAUAUGGUAAAGUCAAAACUGGUGUUGUAGUGAGUGAAGUCUUCAACUCUUAAAAAUUUUUCUCACAAGAGUCUGACCACUAGAACUUGACUUUUUUCUGAGUCAAUCUGGAUAUGGGGGAUGCAAUAGAUGAAAAUCCCUCAACAAAGCAUCGGUGAUAACCAGCCAAACCCUAGAAACUUUUGAUAUCUGAAGAGAGAUAGGUCUACGCUAGUUCCUUACUGCUUUGGUCUUUUGAGGAUCAACUCUAAUGCCAUCACUAAAAAAUAAAUGACGAAGAAAAGCUACUAACCUUAGCCAAAAUUCAUAUUUACUAAAUUUGGAAAACAACUAAUAGGCUUUGAGGGUCUGUAACACUAUUUUGAGAUAGUCUGCAUGACCAUGUUCACUGUGGGAGUAGACACUAAUGUCAUCAAUAAAUACUAUGAUGAACAUGUCCAAAUACUACUUGAACACACGGUUCAUCAAGUCCAUGAAAGCUACUGAGGCAUUGGUAAGACCAAAUGACAUGACUAAGAAUUCAAAGUGACCAUGUAAAGUUCUGAAAGCUAUUUUUGGAAUGUCAUAUUCUCUAACCCUGAGCUGAUGGUAGCCUGAUCUGAGGUCUAUCUUAGAAAAAUAACUAGCACCCUGAAGUUGGUCAAAUAAGUCAUCAAUUCUGGAAAGUUGGUACUUUUUCUUGAUCGCAACUUUGUUCAACUGACGGUAGUCAAUACAUAUUCUGAGAGAACCGUCUUUCUUAUGCAUAAAGAGAACUGGUACGCCCUAUAGGGAGACAAUGGGCCUGAUGAAUCCCUUAUCUAAGAGAUCCUUCAAUUGUUCUUUUAAUUCCCUGAGUUUUGCUGGAGCCAUUUUGUAUGAGGGAUAGAGAUUGGCUGAGUAUCUGAAAGAAGGUCUAUUCAAAGUCAAUUUCUCGCUUGGAAGGGCCUCCAGGAAGAUCUUCGGGAAACAUAUCUAGAAAUUCACAUACUAAUGGAAUUGACUCAAGGAUGGGAGUCUUGGAACUAGAAUCCUUAACUCAAAUAAGAUGUUAGACACACCCUUUGGAUAUUAUUUUUCUAGCCCUUAGGUAGGAAACAAGCUGACCCCUAAGUGCUGAAGUAAUACCCCUCCAUUCUAGGACAGGUUUAUUCUGAAACUAAAAAUAGAGAAUUCUAUUUCUGAAGUCAAAUAAAUAAUAACAUGAAUGAAACUAAUCCAUGUCGAGAAUGAUGUCAAAAUCUGUCAUCUCUAACUUUACUAAGUCUGCUGAAGUAACUAUUAGAGAUACCAUAAUUGGAUAGUUCCUAUAUACCCAUCAGGCUAUGAUAGAUUUACCCACUGGGGUAAGGACUGAGAAGGGCUCUACUAGGAUGGCGGGACCAACUCCAAAGCUAACAACUAUAUUAGGAGUUAUGAAGGACAAAGAAUCUCCUGGAUCUAGCAAAGAAUAAAUAUAUAAAUGAUAGACUUGUAAUGAACUAGUGACCACAUCAGGAGAACUUUCCUACUUCUGUUAGGACUAAAGUGCAUAGAGUCUAUUUGGGUGUUGCCCACUAGUGGUACUGGAAGUGGUACCAUACUGAUUUGGGCUAUCGGGUUGAGCUGAGGUUUGAUUAUGCAUACUCUAUGAACCCACCUGAGGACACUCUCUGACCCUAUGGCCGGGCUUGCCAUAUCCAAAAUAUACAUCAUUGCCAACUCUGUAGACACCCUAAUGGUUUCUGCCAUACUUUUGGCAAAGAGAAUUUGUUUGGGCACUGCUAACACUACCUUGAGGUUCAGGGCCUGGUGCCCUAUUUUUAUUGCCAUCUUUGAAUUUAAGCACUGGAGCACUGGCUGAGGAAAGAGCUGGAACUAAAGAUUUUGGAUGGAACUCAGGAUGAUUACCAUCCUCUGACUUAGGCUGAGUAAAGUUGAAGCUACCUAUUCUACUCCUUUAUUCUCCCUCUCCUUCUUCUUAUUCUUAGCCUCUUCUAUCGGCUGUGCAUGGACUCUGAGACUAGAUAUGUCCAUCUCCUUAAUCAAUAUUGUGAUCCUACACUCUUUGAUGAAACUAUUAGAUAAACCUGACAUAAACUUACUCAUCUUAGAUCUGCUAUAUGCUACCACAUAAGGGGCAUACCUAGCUAGCUGAGUAAACUUGAGAGAAUAAUCUUUCACUGUCAUGUUGCCGUGUUUUAUAUUAAUAAACUCCAAAACUUUAGCCUCCUUUAACUCCAGUGGGAAGAACCUAUCAAGAAAACAAGUAGAUGACUCUUUCUAUGCUAUGGGCCCUGCAUCUGUGUCUCUAUCUUCCUUGCAUUACUUAAACCAUGUAUGAGCCACAUCUUGCAAUGGAUAUUCAACUAACUGAGCACUCUCACUGAAAGUCACCUCCAUGAUAUCUGUGACUUUCUACACCAUGUCAAGGAAUUCCUGUGGGUCCUCCUCAGUCUUAGACCCUAUAAAUAAUGGAGGAUUCAUUCGGGUGAAGUUGUAAAUUCUAGCUGCAGUAGUAUUAACCAUUGGGUUAGAUUGAACGGUAGUUGGGCAUUUAUUCUGGGUUGCGACAAAAUGAGCCAAAGUGGUGAAAGCUUCUCUGAAUUCUGCAUGGGAUACAUUCUCAUCUAGGGGAUCUGUCUGAAUGUACAGAGGUGCUAGCUGAUUCCCAGUCUUUCUUUCAUUAGUCCUUUUUGGAGGCAUAUUCUAUAAAUAGAGGGAAACAUUAGAUUAGAUAGAGAAUUUAAUUUGAGCCUAUGCUCACUCGCACAAUAUGAAUAUCGAAAGAAGGAAAACUUUUCCUAAAAUACCUCAUAGCCUCUCGUCCAUAAGUAUGGCGAACUAUACACCCAUGCACAAGACUCUACUAGGCACAAGUUUUAGAAUCCCUAGGACUCUGUUGAACCUUAGCCUCUGAUACAAAGUUUGUAAAACCCCGAGUCUUCACCCCAAACGUCACACAGUGCUUACAACCCCAAAGGGCCACAAGCUAACCCAUGACUGGUACCUGCUAUGAGCACUGAAUAAUAAUAUACUAAAAUAAAUGCAAAAGUUAGGCUGAAGUUGAUGUAAGUUUCAUAACUAAAAACCAACACCGAAUACAGGUAAAUAAAUACCAAAAACUAAACAUCUAUCUAAAAUAAUCUAGUCUGAAAGCCUUUAACCGUCUGAACAUGGAGUUGAUGGGAUGAGUCCCCAACUAACUCUGAUUACUAAAUAUACUAAAAAACUAAAAUACUAAAAUGAUAACUUUGUCCUCAAACUGUGAGGACCCACCACUAAAUCUGCUGCUAAUAGUUUAGACUGAUAAGUACAGUCAUGAGAACAUGCAUAUGAACCUAUGAUAUAAGACAUCGUAGUGCAAAAGAAAGAGUAUGCUUCAGUACUUUGAAUGUACUGGUAUACUAAGUGAGGUAUACUGAUAUGCAAGGUUUCAUAUGCAUGAACAGUAACUAGAUGAGUACAUGAGUAUAACUGAAUGAGAGUACAUGCUUAUCUGAAAUUGCUGUAAUUACUAAUUACACAAAACUACAUGUGAAUUUACUUUACUGUGACUGAGAUCACUGAUAACUAGGUGACUAUUUCUGACAGUCUUGAUUUUGUGGAACCAAACUUAGUUUCGUACUAAGAUGGGUGACUGUUCUGAUAGUCCUGGUUUUGAAAACUGAAUUGAGGUUUUAUACUGAGUCUGAAGCUGAAACUGUAACUAUGGGAGUGUUCAUCAAACCUACACGCCCCCGUUAUAACUAAAUUAGGGUCCAACUUGUGACUCCAAUUGGAAGGGUGUUAGCACCUUGCCAAGGAAUACUAAUAUAGGCUAUGAGUUAACCCUAUCUUGCAGAAAGGUAUUUUGUCAACCCUCACUUACAAGAAAACCUGUAUGAGAUUGGUCAACCCUUAUCUGGCAAGAAGAUAUCUUAACCUACACUAGCUACAUAGUUCUAUAAUGGAGGGAUUGCUACUAAGGGUCAAACCCUACACUGGCAGGAAUACCCUCAUCCCUGGGUUCGCUCAGUGAUGAAUCCUACUCCCAACUGAAAGGACAUAGAACUAAUUUCUAGACUGUACUAGGCUUGAAUGAACUAUUACUGAUUGUACUAACUGAUUGAACUGGACUGAGUUCACUGAGUUUUGUUAACUAACUGAAUACACUAAGUUCUAUAACUAACUGAGUACUACUUUAUGUGACAUCACUGAGACUAUUCUGUAGCUACUGAAAUUCUAGGUAAACAGCUAGAUUUUGGGUAUUGAAUACCCCCAAGACUCGAUAUUAUUGAAAGUAAAACAUAGCAUAAUCUUGAAAGCAUGAUAACUAGCCACUUUGUCACAAUUCAUCCAUUGAGGCAUUUUAUCAAACUUACAUAGUAAAAACUUGUACACAUGCUAAAAUGUUAUGAUUUCUCUAUUCAAAUUCAACCCACAUGAACAUUUUAUCAAACACUUGGGGAGCAUAGUUUAUGCACCUAAUGAUAAUAAACAUGUAAGCAUCAUGAUUACAAUCCAAACUCACAAUUUCAAGGGACUUUUAACUUAAAUUGACAUGACUAUACAUGGGUUAAUUAUUUCACAUGAAUCUUGUCAUAAAACAUGGACUAGAAACCCAAAUAACAUCUUAAUCAUGAAUACAAUUAAAUUCAACAUGAAAUCCAUGAAAGCAAUCAUCUUGUAGUUUUAAAAGACCCUUGGAUAAACAUCCAACAUACCUUGAUCAUUAAUUUUGUGAAGUUUGUGGUGAGUUCUUGAGACUUGAUUCUUGAACUUGAUGAAGCUAGAGCUUGUUCUUGAGAGGAUUUUGUGAAAAGUAUGAGCAAUUAUGCUAUUUAGUGCUUUAAUCCCGUGUUAUGGAGCUAUUGUGUGAAAGGAAAAUGACUCAUUUUCCCUUAAAAAUGUGGAAAUAUACUGCAGAAAUCACCUGGACUGGACUUGUUGGGGAACCACGAGCUUUGGACUGCUGCUCUGGGCAGGGUACCACGGUUUUCAUCGCGGGAUCCCCCCAGCACCGGGCUGGGAAGUGCGUCGUGGGAUAUUGCCUUGAGCCACUAUUUUAGAGUUUCAAACACGCCCUUAUGGUUGUCCAAAAAUUCCAAAACUCAUCCGAGAUAUACUAUUGACUUGCCUGAUCAAGAAUCAAAUUUAAAACUAAAUUUCUAAGGUCGGAAAGGUCAUAAAUAAAUUCCUCAAAGUUUCAGGGCUUUAGAAAGGAGUAAGUCCUAACACUUCGCUGAAAUUUUAUAAGUCUGAUACCUCUUUUGGCAUGCUUUAAAUGACUCAAAUGAUUAGGAUUCUGCGGGGUCUUACACCCAUCAAACCCAUUUAGAUAUUUGGGAUUUUCGCCCAUAAAAUUCCAACUCAUUAAACCACGAAAUGGUCGAAUCCAUACUCAACAACAAAAAAUAAUGCAAACACAUCAGUACCCACACACAAUUACACUUUAGUUCAACAUAAUACCAAGACUAAAGAACUUAGCUACACAUGAGAUAAUAGAAAAGAUUUUUACCAAGUAUUUUAUCCAUGAUGUCCAUGAUGAUAGAGGAUAAGAAUAAUAUUAUAUUCUACACACCAAUGUCACUAAUUUUCUCUUGGAAUAAUAAUUACAAUAACUUUGGACAAUAAAUUUUUCGCUCAAAAUUCUAGGGUUCUUUCUCUCUUUAUCUUCCACACACUUUAAAAUGUUUUGAAUCCUCAAUAUAAGUCUUUGAUUCAGUUGCCUGUAUUAACUACAAUGCCCUUUACUCAUUUGUCCCACUUUGCCGCAGUCGUAGAGCUUUGACUGUGAUUGGGCAACCAUGAUCGUGUCUAUGACUGACCGAUCACAGUAUAUUGACCAAUUGAUAGAGACCAUGUUCUUUUGAUUGCGGUUGCAUUACCCGAGGCUGGAUAUACUCCCUAUUUAACUGGCUAUGACUCGGUGUUCAGAUUUCUACCGUGGUAACUGAGGACACUUUUGAUAUGAGUUAUUAACAACAUUUUCUUGAUUCCUUUUAUCAUUUGAAGCCCUAAUCCAUAUCUUCUCAUCUCCUCAACUCUAUGCCUGCAAGGAGUGGAUAUUAGUGCAUUUUAUCACUAAUAUGUCUUGUUUAUUCAUUCAAAACAAGGUAAUGUAAGCAAAUGUUUAGUGAGAAUGAGUGGUAAAAUCAUCACUAAUCAACACCCCUAACUUAAAGCAUUUGCUUAUCCCCAAGCAACACUAUCAUUUACCAUGACACAAUAAUUUUUUAUGCCCAAACUUUGUACCUUAAAGCUCACAAUGACUUCAACUUUAGUCACGAUCACAAGUAGCUCAUUGUGUAUAGGCUAAGCUAAUUCCCACUACAACCUCAUCAUAAAAUGUGACAUUUAAGGAUACAUAGGACUUUAAAGGGCAACCAAGCAACAACAACCAAUACUCUAGAGGUGGCUUUCUCUUGACUACAACUUAGCUAUACUUCACUAGCCUCAUUCUUUAAAAGGUGACAAAAUCAUCCACCCUAACUUGUUUCAUAUGUCAAUCCUCACAAGAAAGAAAAUUCUACACACCGAGCUACUAAAAAUGUAACAAGGAGUUUUAAAUGCAAGAACUCUCUCUCUCACACACAAAAGAAAUCUCUAUGCAACAAGUGUUAUACCAUAAUCUUGUCCCUAUUUUCAAUCGUCACUAUGAAAAAAAUACAUGGUUAGAAAUCUCAAAGGAAUUUCUAAACUUGAAACAUAGGUUUGGGUUAGGGUAGGAUAUCAUUUGGGAAUAACAUGGCUACACCAUUCCUUGAACAUCUACAUCACACUUUUUUUUAAUCCUCCUUUUGACUAAGGGCCAUUCUUAUUUAUUUUCUCUUUUUUAUCAUGGCUACUUUUUGCUUCCUUUGUUUACCCAAUUCUUUCAUCUCUUGUUUUGCAAUUUUUAUUCAAUUCUUUCCUUUAUUAGAUCAUGUCUUUUUCUUUCCUUUAUUUCCAUAAUUAGGCAUAUUCAGAAAUUUCCUAACACUUCGUGGUCUCAAACUUCCUUCCAUCAAAUUUCACUUCCCCCAACUUAGGCUUUUAACCUCAAGUUACAUUUUCAAGUUUAAGGAUGGUUUGGUUCAAAAGAGGGAUAAAAAGAAAGGAUUACGGGUUGUAAUGAGUUUGACAAAGAAAGGUCAAAAGGCUUCAAAGUGGGUACUAGGGAUUAUAAUUAUGCAUGGGUAGGAUUUUUUAGGAUAGAGUGGGUUUCAUAAUCAAAAAGGUGGCCUAAGAUCAUUUCUCCAAUCACAGACAAUCAAAAUUAGUUUUGAAAGUCUAACAGGGCAAGUUCUAGAUAACACAAGUACACAAGAGAUGAAUACUAAAAUAUCACCACACAUGGCAUGGAAAAUUUUCCAAGGGGGCUCAAAUGUCCCUCCCGCUAGAGACAAAAUGGAAGUAUCUAUUUCUAUUCAUAAGUCAAAGUUUAUGAAGCCACAAAAAUAAAAAAAGGUUUGUUACAACAUUGCUCACGUCCAUGCACUUAAUUUUUCAAAAAUUUUAGAUGGAGGGGGUUUCUUAUUUUGCAUUAGACUCUCGCACAAUUUACUAAACUAUGGCUACAACUAAAGAAUUAGUCUCACAUUUAGGCUCAAAAUGGGCAAAUCACCCAUAUGGUUACUCAGACUUCACCAAUGGUGUACAAAGUGACCCCAGUUUAAUAAAAUGAAAUGCCACAGGUACUCAGACUUCUCUUGCAUUCUUGAAAUGUAGCUACAAGUACUCAGAAUUUUCCUGUUUCACCCUUAAGAAGGACAUCACUUAAUCUAUCAUAGGGAAUAGUUCAUCCGUAACUAGAAAGACCCAAGUAGCCUUGCUACACUCCAACUCAAAUGCCAAAAGUGACCUCACUGAAGUAAGUUUAAGAAGCAAAAGGGAAGAGAAAGGCUUUUGAAGAAGUAGGCAGUGUAGGAUUCUGAAGUCACAAUCACGUCAAUAAGUCCGCGAUCACAUUGACACAAUCACGGUCUGCUGACCACGAUCAUGGCAACUGAGUCUGAAUUCCUCUAUUUUUGCUAUGUUUUUGAUUUCCUUUAUAGCUGCUAGUUUUCUAGCGCUCUUUUCCCCUAUUUUUGUAAGUACACUACUUUUGUUUAAAGACCUACAAAGCAUCAAAACAAACACAAGAUGAGUUAAAAAUAGGUUGCCUCCCAUUAAGCGCCUAAUUUAAUGUCGUGUCACAACUCUCCCCUUUACCACAUAGCAUCUUUGAAGUUAAUACACUCCAUCUUAGCCACCAUGGGGAUUAUCUCAUUGUAAUGCUUCACCCUUUGACCCUUUACUAAGAAUUUUCUUCCUUCAUUAUCUUCCAAUUCAAAGGCACCAUUUGGGUAUACAUUAGAAAUCACAAACGGUCCCGACCACUUUGAGCGAAGCUUCCCUGCAAAGAGUUUCAAAUGGGAGUUAUAGAGGAGAACAUUCUUUCCAACAUGGAAUUCUCAUCGUAAUAUCUGAGCAUCAUGCCAUUUCUUCAUUUUCUCCUUACACAAUGCCAAACUCUCAUACACUUUUAAGUGGAAUUCCUCCAUCUUAUGAAGUUGUGUCGCCCGUGCCUCGGCUGCAUCCCCCCAAUUCAUAGUUGACCAUUUCAAAGCCCACAAGGCAUUGUGCUCAAGCUCAAUGGGUAAAUGAUAUGCUUUUACAAAAACCAAUAUAUAGCGAGACAUUCUAAUUGGGGUUUCGUAGGACGUUCUAUAGGUCCAAAGCACUUCAUCAAUUUGUCUUGCCCAAUUCGUGCGACCUAUAUUUACCAUCUUUUUAAGUAUGGCCUUGAUUUAUCAAUUUGAAACCUCCACUUGUCCCCUUGUUUAAAGGUGGUAUGGAGUGGGAACCUUGUGUUUAACCCUGUACUUGUCAAGAAGAGCACCAAACACCCAAUUCUAAAAAUGCGAGCCACCAUCACUAAUGAUGGCCCGAGGAGUGCCGAACCUUGUGAAAAUAUACUUUUUUAGAAAUAAGGUGACACACUUAAUUUCAUUAGUUGGGAGUGAGAUGGCGUCCACCUAUUUGGAGACAUAAUAGACCACCACGAAAAUGUAUUUAUUCCCAAAUGAACUCACAAAAGGACCUAUGAAAUUAAUUUUCGAUACAUCAAAUAGUUUCACCUCAAGAUUAGGCUUGAGGGGCAUCUCGUGCUUUCUUGAAAUACCCCUAUGCAUUUGAAAUUUGUGAUAGAUUUAAUCCAUUCAAUGGCAUCCCUAUGAAUUGAAGGCCAAUAAAACCCACAUUGGAGAAUCUUUGCGGUGGUUCGCAUUCCUCUAUGGUGACCUCCAUAAGGCAAUGAGUGACAAGCUUCCAAGAUAUAAUUUAUUUUAAUAUCCAUGACACACUGCCUAAUAACUCCAUCAAUACAUUCCCAAAACAAAAUGUCUCAUUCCUAAAAUAUCACUUUGCGUCAAACAAAAAUCAUUUCUAUUGAUGGUAACUCAAUCCUUCAAAGAGUUCUCCACUUGCUAAAUAGUUGGCAAAGUCGGAAUACCAUGGUGUAUUAUUCCCCUCAAUGUACAUGGUCAAUUGAUUGAGAAAAGCAUCAUCAAUUUCUAUUUCCCUAUGCUUUUCAUUGUUUCCAUCAAGUCAAGAAAGAUGAUCGACCAUUUGAUUUUUGCACACUUUUUGGUCUUUCACCUUAAAGUUGAACUCUUGUAAUAGAAAAAUCCACCUAAUUAAAUGCGGUUUUGCUUCUUUAUUGUCCAUGAGAUACUUAAGAGCGGAGUGAUCCAUGUGUACCACUACUCUCGUUCCUAACAAAUAGGCCCAAAACUUUUCAAAGGCAUAUACUACCACUAACAAUUCUUUCUCGAUGAUGGUGUAGUUGUGUUGGGUGCCAUUCAAGGUUUUGCUUUCGUAGUAGAUAGAAUGAAAUAGCUUGUCCUUGCAUUUCCCUAGAACCAAACCCAAUGCAAUACCACUUGCAUCGCACAUUAUCUCAAAUGGUAGUGACCAAUUUGGGGCCACAAUAAUGGGGGAUGAAAUGAGUAAUUCCUUAAGAUGUUUGAAAGUUUCAAGAAUUCCUUAUCAAAGUUGAAUUUAGAUUUUUUCUCAAGAAUUUUACAUAUGGGGUGUGCUAUUUUGUAAAAAUCCUUGACGAAACAUCGAUAAAACCUGACAUGGCCAAGGAAACUUCGAACACCUUUUACAAAAAUAAGAGGUGGGAGCUUAUAAAUUACCUCAACCUUGGCUUAAUCGACUUGAAUGCUCCUUUGGGAUAUCUUGUGACCUAAUACGAUCCCUUCUUUGACCAUAAAGUGUCACUUCUCCCAAUUCAAGAAAAGGUUCAUUUCCACGCACCUUUUAAGCACUUAGUUCAAAUAUUCAAGGCAUGACUCAAAAGAGUUCCCUACUACUGAUAAGUCAUCCAUAAACACUUCCAUAUAGUCUUCAACCAUAUCCAUAAAUAUUGACUACAUGCAACCUUGAAAGAUUGCUAGGGAAUUACAUAACCCAAAGGGUAUUCUCUUGAAUACAAAUGUACCAUAUAGGUAAGUAAAAGUUAUCUUUUCUUGGUCCUCCAGUGCAAUACAAAUCUAAUUAUACCUUGAGUACCCAUCCAAUAAGCAAUACCGUUCUCUCCCAACAAGCCUAUCUAGCAUCUGAUCCAUGAAAGGCAUUGGAAAAUGGUCCUUCUCAGUCCAUGAAUUCAUUUUUAGGUAGUCUAUAUACACAUUCCAUGUGGUGACUGGUCGGAGGGAAUGAGAUUAUUUUUUUAUUUCUGACUACCGUGAUACCAUCUUUCUUCGGAACAUAUUGUAUCGAACUCACCCACAUGCUAUUGGAUAUAGGAUAUAUCACUCCCACAUUAGGCCACUUUAUAAUUUCCUUUUUUACUACUUCUUUCAUGGGUUGGUUUAAUCUCCUUUGGUUCUCUACACUAGGUAUGUGAUCUUGCUCGAGUUUAAUUUUGUGCGAGCAAAUGCCAGGGGAUAUUCAGAUGAUGUCCUCUAUCGUCCAUCCAAUGUCCUGAAUGGAUUUAUGCACCACUAACUUUAAUGCUUAUACUUGAGAGGAACUUAGGUCACUAAAAAUAAUGAUUGGCAAUGUAUCAUCCUCCCCCAAGAACAUGUAUUUGAGAUGAGGUGGCACGGGCUUCAAUUUAAUUUUAGGAGGUUCAAGGAUGGAUGGUUUUUUGGGUAGAAUUUCUUGAUUUUUAGAUCAAUAUCUAAUUUAACUGGGUUCUUGGUAUGAAACACCCAAGUCCAUUUAAAGAUGUUACCACCUCAUCAUACUCCUCCACUUCAUCUCUUUCACCAUCCCAUAGCACCCCCAACUAAAGGGUUAUUCAAAAAACCCACAUCAACAUUGUUUGGCACUUCUCUAUCAAUAACAUCAAUCACCGAGAUGACUUGUAGGUCCAUUGGUUGUUUUAUGGACUUACAUACAUUAAAGGAUACCUCCUAAUCAUUCAAUCUAAACUUUAUUUCUCCAAACUCCAAAUCUACCAAAGACUUCUCGGUAGCUAAAAUGGCCUCCCAAGGAUAAUAGAAAUUUUAACAUCCAUUGCACAAUCCAAAAUAACAAAGUUGGCUGGGUAGAUGAACCGGUCCACUAUUACUAGAACAUCAUGGAGGACUCCUAUAGGCUUUUUGAUGGAUCGAUCGACCAUGAGCAACUUUAUUUAGGUGGGCUUUGUCUUACCCAACCUAAGUUUUUGAAAUAUAACAUAGGCCAUGAGGUUCACACUUGCUCCAAGAUCACAUAAUGCCUUAGCAAAAGUGAAUGUGCCGAUGGUGCAUAAGAUUGUACAAGCUCUGGGGUCCUCUUUUCAACACAUGCACUUAUCAUAAUGGCAAUUCAAUGGUGAGUCACCUCUAUGAUUCCGUCCUCCAAUAAUUUUUUUUAGACACCAAAUAUUUCAUAAAUUUAGCACACCCCGGCAUGUCUUUUAAUGCCUCAAUAAGAGUAAUAUUAAUAGAAAGGGUACUAAAUUUAUCAAAAAGUUGUUUAGCUUAUCAUGCUCUCCUUUUAUCAAAGGUAAAUUAGUGAAAGAGGGAUGAAUGGGAGUUAAUAGCAUAGAGAUAAUUUGACGAUCGUUAACUAUUACUGUUCCUAUUAAUAACUUAUUUAUCUUUGGCUCUUCAUCAUUGGAUCAUUUUCUCUUUGCCUUUGUCUGCUCCCCACUUUGCAUGUCUUCACAUUGCAUUUCCAUGAGAUACCUUGAUGUUUGUCUUACUUUUGCCUCUAGUUUUUGGAUGGCGGUGGAGUGAGAUGUAACCAUUCGGUGGAGCAUGGAGAAUUCACUUCACAUCUCAUUUAUUAUUUCUCUGGUCCUCUCAGCACUACUCAAAAUCCAUGCCAAAAUAUCUCUAUCAAUUUUCUCUUUCCUUUCACAAUGUGCCAAGCUAAGAUGUUCCCGGUUCCGACCUUGAUUGCUGCCUUUUCCUUAUGGGGCAAGAUGGAAACCCUCCGAGCCUCUAGGCAUCAUAUCUAAUAUUUCAACAAUUACCUCCUCCUUUGCAUUUUCACAUUGUUCAAAUUCUAUUGCACUUAUCAUACUCAUACUUUCUAUUUUCUCACCUAACAUAUGCUCAACUAGGAGUUCGAGGCAUGACAUCAUUUUGUCCAUCUUUCCAUUGAUCUCUUCCUCUUCAUAUUUAUUAUCAUGGUACACAAAGGUUGAGGAGGGAGUGCCCAUAGCCACCUCUAUAUCCUAUAUGUCACAAACCUUACACCAAAUUCCCACUUAGUCUUAAGACUUUUGAAAUGAUCCCAUAUGACGAGUUGAUGAAUGAUCCACCGGAUGCAUUGUCCACUAUAGACUUAUUUUGUUGGUCCAAUUCUCUAUAGAAUAUUUGGAGAAGCAUCUUAUCCGACAUCUCAUGGGUGGGGUAUUUCAAAAGUGUUUACUUGAAUCUUCCCUAUGUAUCGUACCAUGUUUCUUUGUGAUAUUGGCGAAAAUUAACAAUUUCAUCCCUCAACUUCAACUUUCUAGAUGGUGGGAAGUAUUGAUAUAAGAAAUCUUACAUGACACUUUUCCAUGAAGUAAUAGAUCUGGCUGCCAAAGAUCUUAGCCAAAGCACUGCCUUUCCCAUAAGAGACAAUGGAAAGAGAUGUAAUCGGAUGAACUCUUGGGAUAUAUGUGCAACUUUGAAUGGAGCACAGACUUCCACGAAGCCCUUCAAGUGAGCAUUCAGGUCUUGAUGAGAUUCUCCCCCAAAGAGUCCUUUCAUGUGGAGUAGUUUCAUCAUUACACUUGUAAUAUAAAAUACCCCAUGCUCCUCAAUGGGGUGAAUAAGACUGGCACUUUCAUGAUCUCCAACCCCAAAAUAAAUUGAGUCCCCAAAAUAAAUUGAGUCCUCAUGAAUCAUGAUUAUUUGGGAAUAAUAAUGUUGACUUACAUAAAGAUCAAAAAUAACAAAGAAAUUAAAUGACAUACACUACGAGUACACCUAAGUAAAAAUCACACCGCAUAGGCAAAAUCUAUAUUUUACUCCCUGGCAAUAGUGCCAUUAUGAUAACACUCAACUCACUCCUAUGUUUUAGGGGUGAGGAGGUCGUUGUCAAUAAACCAACUAGAGUUGAGGUCGAAUCCAUAAGAAGCAAAUUAUAAAUUUUGAGUUUUAUGGGUGUUCUAGUGACUAAAAGGGUACCCGGAAUGUUAACAAAUACGACAUAUAAAUUAAAAUGGGGGAUUUGAGUUAAGAAUGGUUUGUAACAAUUUUUGAUUAAUAAUGCACGAAUAUGACACUUUUGAUUUAAAAUUAAAAAUACAGAGGGUCUUGAGAUUAUGUCUACCUAAGAGUAAAGUAUGUGGGUUAAUAACGGUUUAACAUGAAGCUUAGUUGCUGACCAAAGAAUAGGCUAGGUCGAAAGUCAUUGUAGUCAAUCUUUCAAUAAAACUACAACGAUUUCACCCAUGGAUAUUUUGAGCACCUAACAAUUGUAUGAUUCGUAAUCACCCAAAACCUCAAUCAAGUAUCCCUAUUUCUAGGAUAAUACUCUUGACACGAUUUACACUCCAACUACACUUAUUUCUAUGAUUGAAAAAGGUAGUAAACUAUAGGAUCAAUUGUCCACCAUUACCUUGUCCUCCCUAUAACCCUUUUUCAAGGAUGUUAUGGGUUACCUCAAGUUCACUUUCAUCCCCUUUUCAAGGAAGAUGAAGGGUUCUUAGUGGGGUUUCACCCAUCAAACCCAUUUGGAGAUUUGGGGUUUUCACCCAUCAAAUUCUAACUCAGUAACCCAAGUAAUGGUGGAAUCCAUACUCAACAACUAAAAAUCAUACAAACAUAUUAAUACCCAAACAGAAUUACACUUUAGUUCAACAUAAUCCUAAGUCUAAAGAAGUUCGCUACUCAGGAGAUAGGAGAAAAGAUUUUUACAAGUAUUUUAUGCAUGAUGUUCAUGAUGAUAGAGGAUAAAAAUAAUCCUAAAUUCCACACACCAAUGCCACUAAUUUCCUCUUGGAAUAAUAAUUACAAUAACUAUGAACAAUUAAUUUUUCACUCAAAAUUUUAGGGUUCUUUCUCUUUCUUUCUCUCUCUCUCUCUCUCUUCCACACACUUUAAAGUAUUUUGAAUCCUCAAUAUAAGUCUUUGAUUUAUCUUCCCGAAUUGACUACAAUGACCUUUACUCAUUUGUCUCACUAUGCCGCGGUCGCAAAGCUUCAACUACGAUCACAUUCUUCUGAUCACGGUUGCGUUACCCAAGGCUGGAUAUGCUCCCCUGCUUAAUUGGUUGUGAGUGCGGUGUUCAGACCGUGACCACCGUAAUUGAGGUCACUUUUGAUCUGAAUCAUUAACAAUAUUUUCUUGAUUUUUUUAUCAUUCCCGAUCUACAUCUCCUAAUCUCCUCAACUCUAUGCCUGCAAGGAGUGGAUAUUAGUGCAUUUUAUCAAUAAUAUGUCUUGUUUAUUCAUUCAAAAUAAGGUAAUGUGCAAAAAUGUUUAGUGAGAAUGAGUGGUAAAAUCAUCACUCAUCAGGUUUAUACUCUCUUAGGUGCACCUUCUAGUUUUGGGUGACACCCUAGUCCUUUGGGACAUCAUUUCAAUAGAUCCAUAUAGCCAGUGUGGGUACCCUUGGCAAGGUACUGAUACACUUCCAACUGGGAUUACCGAUUAGACCCCGAUUAUUUCAGAUUAGGGCAUGUCGAUUAAAUGUUAGCUCCCAUAAUUUCUGUUCAAUAUUCAAAUUUUAUCAGUUCAGGUUUGCAGGCCCAAGUGUCCGUAUAUCAGUUAUUCAAAUAAUUUUAGUACAUGGUUAUGCUUAGUCUUAAAUUCAUUAUACAUGUUCAUGCAUUUAUGCUUAGUAUUCAUACAUGAUCCUCAGUAUGAUUUUACAAACUAUUCAGCUUUAACCUUAGAUUUACAUUUGGUAUUCAUGUUUCUAUUGCUUCCCAAUUUACAGAAGUGUUUUAGCUCAUGAUUUAGAAAUUUCACAAUGCCUUACAUGUUUUUUUAUGUAUAGACAUAUUUUAUGUGCAUAUUUUAGCAAAUGGUUUAUGUCCUCUAUUUUAAAGCACGGUUUAAGUAUUUUGAUGAUUAGUGCAUCGCUCAUAUACUCAAUACAUUCCAAAGUACUGACCACAUAUAUGUUUUUGUGGCUACAUUACUUCAUAAUGUAGGUACCAGAUGUAGCCCACACACCAUAAUCAAACAGUUCACCCUUUUUAGCCAGCAGGUGAUGAGUUCUCUUGAUUCGAGGACUCAAGUCAACAAUAGUUCCAGUAUUAUAUGUUUUAUUCAGUUGUAUUGAUUAGGGAUAGCUGGGGGUCUUGUCCCAGCUACCUAUAGUAAGUAUUAGUAGAGGCUUCAUAGACGGUCAAUCAGAGUUCAUGUAUCCAGUUUCAGCUUUCCUUUGUAUAUCUAUUGAUGUAAGCAUUCUUAAAUAGUUUUUUAAUGAAAAAGUUUAGUUAAUGACAUUGCUUUCGCUUGUCAUUUCUAAUUUUAUGUGUUUAUUCAGUUGCUCACGAAUUAUGCCAAUGUCAUGGGUUAGCUUUAGAUCACUUGUAGUUCUAAGAACCGUGUGACAUUCAGGGGGUAGUCUUGGGGCAUUACAAAUAUAUACAAAGUGACACGACCUGACCGGGGGCUUUGUAAUAAUGGGAGUCCCAAGUUUGACCAGGACCGGAGACCACCCCCAUUACCCAACCCAACCCAACCUCCAGCUGCCUGCCCUGAGUUGGCUGAAUUUCAAGCAUAUAGAAAUAUAAUGUAAUGUCUUACCUUAAGACUCUAGUAUAGGAUCACAACCAUGACCGACCCAAUCAAGUCCAACCAUCCCAUAUCAAUAAUCCAACCAUACAAACCAAUAUCGAAACAAGGGACAUAAAUCAGGCCAUAACCAAUAAUAUUCCAAAAGAUAAUAUAACUAAUCCCUAAAAAAAUACGAAUGAAUAGUGAGAAAUCAUGUCUAAUUAUGUCAACCCACUAGUUUUUUCCAAUGCCAAGGCCGACACCAAUAUCGAUCCCGCCUAUUCCAACACAUAGUAGUACUACAAAGCCUCUAACAAAAAGAGUAAGAAUAUCCGGUUGAGACAUGCCCAAACCCAUAGACAAAACCAAUAUCCAAAAUGAAAUCAAAGAGUCUAGAAAUAUCCAUAACUUAAAUUGAAGCCUUCCGAAAGGAUAGAAGCUCACCACUUUAGUCCAAAUGCUGAUCCCUAAGUCAAUCACAUAGGAGGAGGAUAACGAUUGGUUCCUGCAUAGCUUAGCUAUACAACCGCCAGUAGACGGGUUAACGGGUGAAUGCUAGAAUGAUCUCAGGAUAAGGAUAAAAUAAUGCCAUUUAUAAAACCAAGAAAAACCAGCCAUAUGCACACAAACCAUGCAUACACACACACACACACACACAUAUAUAUAAAACCAUUCCGGGAAAGGGACCAGGUUGAGUAUUUAUUUAAAACCUUUACCUGGGUUGUGUAGCUUUACUGUCCCAAACCACCCACAGGCUUUAUGGAUUCAGUUCCCACUGUUAAAAGGGCCUAGUGCGUGAAGUCGCAUAACCAGGGAAGAAAACCUGAGAUGACUAGUACAUCCCCUAAAAUAUAGUGUGACAUCAUGCACACGGUCAACAAGACAAACCUCAUAUUGGCAAAUAUGAGUUUCCAGUUUUGGUACCCUCGGGACCUCCACCUUCCAUGGCUUCACUACACAUCUCGCCAUUAUUGCCCAAUUAAAACCAUUAUCGAGAAACCAAUCAAUCCAUUUACCAUUUAAUAACCUAGGACAUUUAGUGGUGGUAUCAUUAUACCGACCAUACUUGCAAGUACUAUCUAUAGCCAACCAUAUAUAGGUUUUAAGGGGACUUCCAAGUGCCCUUCCAUUUACCAUAUUAAACUACUUGGGGGAUUCCAUGUACCCUACAAGCAUAACCAUUUAGCCAUUUACCUUUUCAAACCAUUUAAACCAUGCAUAAUUCCAUUACCAAGUUUUUAAACAAGAAAAAGUUCCAUUAAAAGUACUCAAUGCAAUGAAAACAUGCUUAUAGCAUUUUGUCAAACACAUUGGGGCAUAAUAUGACCAAAACCACUUCCAAUUACCAUUAAAAUAUUCCCAUGAAACCCAAUUAUCCAAAACAACCAUUAAUGCACAUAAUGCAUAAUUAAAACCAUGGAAAACCAUAACUAACCAUUUAAUAUCAAAACCCCCAAUUCAUAUUUGAAAACCAAACUCAUAUAAUCAAUGAAGUCUUGAAAACAUUCGUAAAAUUCAUGCUUCUAGUUAGAAUUAACAAUGAGGGAAGAGAACAUGCCUUAAACCAAGAUGAUAAUGGAAAAAAAUCACCAAGACCAGCCCCAAAUUAAUCCUCUAGUUGAAAUCCUAGCUUCCCUGACCCAAAAGCUUUUAAGAGAAUUAUAGAGUGUUUUAGAAGAGUUUCUAAGUGUUAACGAAUAGAAUAAUAGGGUAAAUAACAUCCCAAGUAAUAUGAAAGUCAUGGGAUCUUAUUAGGAUAAGUGCGGAAAUGUCUAGAAUACCCCUACCUAAGUUUUACAAAAUCACAUCCCAGGGGUACGACUGACCCUCACGAGUCGUACCCUCUAAUACGAUUGGUACCCUCCACUCAUAUCCUAGCCUCAACCUUUAGAUCCAAUACUGGUCAACAUACGGCUGGACCAUACCAUCCAUACCCCAACAUAUGUCUCGUACCCAUGAGUUGUAUUGGGUCUAGAGACCAGAAGUCCAGAAAAUUUUCUAAGGGUCAAAAUCUAGGGUGUUAUAGUCUCCCCCACUAGGAACAUUCGCUCCUAAAUUAUGAACAAGUUAGGGGUAACCACACGCACGAGUUAUUUGUAUUAUUUUAUCAAAAAUAUUCCUAAUCUUUAACAAAUUUUUAAAACAAAGAGGCAACGAUAUUAAUCUUUUCUUUAACAAACUACAAAAAUAAAGAUGUGUUGAAGAACACAUACCUUUCGCACGAAUCCCAGGAGCAGAAAGCAAAUGCAGAUAUUUGGAUUUUAUGUCCUCCUCCACUUCCCAAGUAGCUUCUUCCACCUUAUGGUUCCACCAUAGAACCUUAACCAAAUCCACAUCCUUGGUCCACAACCGACAAACCUGCCUAUCCAAGAUCUUAACUGGGAUUUCCUCAUAAGAUAGAAAAUACAUGAUACCCAAUCCUUCCAAACUAAGAAGGAUAUCAGUGGUAGUAUCAUGGUACGAACCUUGUAGACCAUACCUAUUAAACCGAUUACAAGAAUACCAGCUAUAGUAUCUAUUAUCCAAUGGGCAUCUAAUUUAUCUAAUUAGAAUUCAAAUUCUUAAUUUAAUUAUAAUUAUUUAAUUAUUACAAGAUAUCUUUAUUUAUAUAAUAACAUAAUAACAGAUACAAUAUAGUAAAUCGAGGUACCC
rnacentral:lncRNA from 1 species